UUGCUUCCUCUUGCUCAAGCAUUUUUUAAGCUGUCAAUUGAUAAUGUUAGUCCUAGGCUUGGUACUAGGUCUAAUCUGUCUUCACAAGAUAUUGUGGUUGUUGCUAUGAUCAUGGCGGGUCGAAAGUUUGAUUUGCCAGAUUUGAUUCUUAAAAACAUGUUGGAUGCAGUUGAGGGUAAAUCUUCUGGGGGUUUACCAUAUGGGUUACUUUUAACCAGGGUUUUUGAAUGGUUUGGAGUGUCAUUUGUUGAUGAGGACACUAUUACUGCUAAAGAAUUUUUGGAUGUUAAGUUUCUCUCUCAGUCAAAUUUGAAGUUGGAUAAGGAUGGGAAUCUGGUUGUGGUUGAAAUUCCUCCACCUCCACCUCCUACACAUUCUGUGAACGUUGUUGAUUUGGGAAUCUCUGCGCAAGAGAUUCAGGAAUAUAUGGAAGAGCUUCGUACUAAUCAUCAGCAGCUGGUGGACGGGCAAAAGCAGUUAUCUGAGAAGAUGGGUGAGUUGAAUACUCAGUUUGCUUUUUGGAAAGACAUGAUGUUUGGGGCUCGAACGUCUACUGCGUCUGAGAAGUGCAGUUCUGGAAGCUUUGCUUAUGAACUCUACAAAAGGAUUUAUGGCUCCGGGGGUUCAUCUGAUGUGAAGGCUACUUUCACUUCAGAGGAUGAUACUACUGAUAGCCCACGGCCGAGAACAGCUAUGGAUGCUUUGAAGGAGGCUGCUGGAACGGACUCCAAGUAUGCUGCUGCAGGGGAAGAAAUGCUAGCUCGGAAUGUGAUUGCGGCAGAGCUUGUCAAGAAGUUUGGACUGGAGAAGGAUGAUCAGGACAAGGCUGGAUCUUGAUUUUCUCACCUUUUUAAUGAUUAAGGGGGAGGAAAUUAGGAAAUUAAUAAUACUUUGCUUAAGUUUGUGUUAUCUGCUUAAGUACAUUAUUGGCCCUAAGUUUUAUUUUGCUUUAAAGACUAAGUUUUACUGGUUGGUUUGGAUUUGAAUUUGCUGGUCUCAGGUGGUUUAUCCUGAGUUAACUUGGUUUGUUUUCUUUGGAUAAUUUUGUUGGAUACCAGGUGGUUUAUCCUGGUUAAUUAUCUAUGCAAGUUGCUUUGAUUAAUUGCUUUCUGUGUUAAAUAUUGCAUAUUUGUGAAUAUCUGUGAAUUAGAUAUAUCUGCUAGAUUUUAUUCUCUGUGAUAAUUGUGAAAGUUUAGUGAUAUUAGAUUGCUAUAUUUAGGGGGAGUUUAUUACUUUUUCCUAAUAUAGUGUAAUCAUCAAAAAGGGGGAGAUUGAUACUCUCAAGGUUUUGAUGAUGACACUAACAGCAAGCUAAUAACAUGAAACUGAUAUGUGUAAGCAUGCUAUCAAAGGUUGUUUAUGCGGACUAACAGUAUUUCAGGAUGUUAGCAUGAUUAUAGCUGUCAGCAAGCUUACAGGAAUAUUUACAAGCUAUCAGCAGGCUUACAGCGUGAACAGAGAAACAAUCGGAUAAAGAUCAAAGUCUAUUUUCAAGGAGAUUUAAUAGGAAACGACUUUGUAAGGAUUCUAAUAUUUAUAUAUAUCUGAUAUAAAUAUUAGAGCUCAGUUUUAUAAAGAGUUUCGUUCAAAAACGUUUUCCUAACAAAUAGGAGAUUUUAUUUCAAAUCGAUCUUAUCUUUAACAAACUCCUAUUUUGUUUCAAACGGGUUUUUUUUUUUAAAUUCUUUACUGAGAUGAUUUCAAACGUGACUUAUCUUUUACUCAGUAAUCUUACUUCAUUCAAACGUUCAUCAUUCAAUUCAAAUUUAAACGUGAGGUUGUUACCAAGAUCGUUGGGAAAUUUGUUGGAUUAUGACCGUUGGUAUGAUGUAUAUAAAUUUGUGUGUGCUUUCAUUUUCGGUAGAGAACAAGGAGAACACACCAAGCUUUCUGAAAUACAACUCUUUACAUUGCUAAAUCUUUUAUUGAGCUCUAGUACUUAUAUUUGCAUAUAUAUCUAUAUUGAGAGUUCAUAGUUUCGGUUGUAUUACACUUAUUCAUUGUAUUGUUCAAGGUGUAAUGUUUUGUUGCUGUGUAUCGAGCUUGUGAAACAAGGGAACAAGGGAACUAGUUAGCUAGGAGAGUAUACUUGGGAAGUAUAGGUCUUGGUAGGCUUUUGGUUCGUGGUUCAGGGGUUUCAGCAGGCUGAUAACAGGAACAAGGGAGAAAGGGAGUUAUAUUAUUGAAUCUUGUAAUCGUUGAUAUUAUUGAUUAAUAAUAUAAUCUCUUACCAGUUGGUAGGGGACCAGGACGUAGACCAUUAGGGUUAGGGGUCGAACCUGGCUAAAAUUCUUGGUGUUGCUAGCAUACUGCUUUACAUUAUCUGCAUUGCAUUUAUCUUAUUAGCAGGCUAACUGUUUACUCUGAAAAUUAACAGCAGGCUGUCUUUGACAGGUUAAUUAUUCGGUAACUUAUAAAAAUCGGGUAUAUUAGCCAUAACACUUAAAAUUGAUGCUACAAAAGUAAUUGACCUACUUAAAAUGUUUUAGUUUUAGUAUGUAACUGAAUUAUGACUACAUAUGUAUUCCUUUAUUGAUGUAUUACUUUAAGGCUAAUUAUUUCUCAACAUAUUCACCUUAAUUCUAUAAUUAAGGAAUUGAUAGAAGUUUUAUAAUACGUAUAAUCAGGUUAAGUUUAUAAUUAUUUAUGUUUCUAAAUUCAAAGAUUUAUAUAGUCCGUGUCGUCAUAAUUUCCGUUGUGUGUUUUUUUUUUUAAAUUGACAUUCGUAUAUAUUAUUUUUAACAUUUGCAACGUAUUGAUCGUCAAUAACAUAACUCGAGUAUUUUGAAUGUUACAUACGUUAGUUUUCAUAACUUAUAUCUCAUAUCAUACUGUUUGUUAAUAAAAAAUUUAUAGUUUAACUAGAUAAAAAAAAAUCAUACCCGUGUGCGUAGCACGGGCGAAAAUGCUACAUGUAUAUUUUUAUUUAAAUAAAUUUUUCAUAAAUGAGAAAAUUUUCAUUUAAAUAACUAAACAAUAAAAUUUUUACAUAUAGUUUAUUAUAGUUUUUGUUGUUUUAUUUAAGAUUCGAGGCGUCGCCAUUAGGCGACGCCGAGAAAUUUUAAUUAUAUAGUCAUUACUAUUUUUCAUAUCUUUUAUAAAUGUUUUAGAAACAAUUAUCGAAUAUUUUUUUAUUAUUUUAACUAUACAAAUAAUGAUUUGAUCAUAGAUUCAUGAACAUAUAAAUUUUUAUUCCAAACAUGAAAUAUUAUUAUUAUAUUAAAUAUUUGGUUAUUGUAAUGAUAUUAAUGAAAAAUCUAUUCCGUUAUAAAAUCAAUACAGAAUCUAUUCCAUUAUAGAUAUUUAUCACGUAUAUUCUCUUAGUAUCAAUUUUCAAUAUAGGCAAUAAUUAUAGCAUUAUAUAAUUUUAGUAAUGUAACUAAAUUAUGAAUACAUAUGUAUUCCCUAAUUGAUGUAUUACUUUAAGGUUAAUUAUUUCUUAACAUAUUUAUCAAUUUUUAUUAAGGACGGGAGGAAACUCUAUCAUCAGCAUAUUCACCUUAAUUUUAUAAUUGAGGAAUGGAUGGAAGCUCUGUAAUCUGCAUAAUCAGGUUAAGUUAAUAAUUAUAUAUAUUUCUAAAUACAAAGAUUUAUAUAGUCCGCGUCGUUAUAAUUUCUGUUGCGUGAUUUUAUUUUUUCAAUCGACAUUUGUAUAUAUUAUUUUUAACAUCUACAACGUACUGUUCGCUAAUAACAAAACUCGAGUAUUUUGACUCUUACGUACGUUGCUUUCAUAACUUAUAUCUCAUAUCAUACUGUUUGUUAAUAAAAAUGUAUAGGUUAACUCGAUAAAAAAAACAAAAAACAUACACGUGUGCGUAGCACGAGACAAAAUGGUAAUAAACAUUUAAAAUUCUAUAAUUUAAAACUCAUAAUAAAUAAUUUGACUGCGCUGAUUACCCGCCAGAUUUGGGGUUAAUCACGACAUAAAGUAUAGAUUAAGUUUUUUUUUUAAAAGCAAAGUAUAGAUUAAGUCGAUAAAAAUCAAAGAAUCAAUACCGUGUGCGUAGCACGGGCCAAAAAAGCUAGUCUUAUUAAAAAAUGCAUAAACAAAAUUCAGGAUGUGUAUGAAGCAUCAUCCUAAUUUUAAUACUUAUUCAAAAUAUAUUAGUAUGAAGAAAGUGAAUAUAAUAUAUAAUAAUGGAUUAUUUAUUAUUGAUGAUAAAAAUAAUGAUUGUUAUAUAAGCUAAUCUUUUAGUUUAAUAUAUAUAAGUGAUUUAUAUUGUAAAUUAAGUUAUAAUAUAAUUCUCAACUACCCCUUUCAAAACGUCUAGGUUAUUUAAAUAUUAAUUUAUGAGUUAAUAUUAUUAACAAAUUAUAAAUUAUUUAUACAGCAAAGUCGAUUAUUCUUGCAUAAUUAUUAUACAAAGGUUCCUCGGCAUGGCCGAGCGGCCACUCGACUUUUAAAUAUGUAUAUUUUUAAUAUUAUUAUCAAUCGAUUCUAAUAAUAUAAUAAGUGAUUUAAAUUUAAUGAAUUUAUAUAUGAAAUGCUUAUUUUUUUAAUACUAAUUAAUUUAUAAUAAUAAUAAUAAUAUUAAGUGNUUGCUGGACCCAACAAAUUAGGCUAUUAAUAUAUGUUAAAUUUAUAUAUAUAUAUAUAUAUAUAUAUAUAUAUAUAUAUAUUAUGUGGUAAUAUUAUUAAUAAAUUAUGAAUUUUUGUAUUGUAAAUCAAUUAUUCUUGCAUCACUAUUAUAAAAAGGUUCCUCGGCAUGGCCGAGCGGCCAUGCCUCAGAUUUUUAAAUAUGUAUACUUUAAAUAUUAUCAUGAUUUUUAAAUUUAUAAAAUUACAUAACUACUUGAAAUAGAUGUUCAAAUUUUAAUAAGUGAUAUACAAAUAAAUUUAUCAUUUUAAGUGUCAAUUUGAGUUAACAUACUAUUAACCGAGAUAAUGAUAUGAUCAAUAUUGUUCUAUAAAUAUAAAUAUAUGAAACAUUAUUGAUGCCAAUCGACAGAAGAAGAAAAUAUAUUUGUAUUAAACCAUUGGCUGCCAGUGAGAGAACAAAAUUCUUGUAUUCCAGUCUGCAUUAACUUUAAUAAUUCAUCAGAUAGUCUUCCUGUGUGUUACUAAUAGUAACAUAUCUAAACAACACUUGUACAUUAACAAAACCAACAUAACAGUACAACCUGUUUUAACAAAGACAUAACACAACUGUUAAGAUAUAUCUUAUAUAGUUCAAUCUUUCAUAGGCCUACUCUCUUUCUACAUUAACUGACUAAAAAAUAUUAAUUAUAGCUAAUCCCACCCUCAAAGCAACCGGAUCUUGCCAUGAGAUCUUUCUCUUUACCGCACGAUUGGAACCGUGUCCUACGUUUCUACAAAGAGAUAACUUCAACUCAGAUAGCUUGUCUUGCCUUGCCAUCUCACAACUAUCCUGGUAUUCCUCUUCUGCUACCUGCCAAACUUGUCAAAUGGCAUUCCAUGGUAAAUACGUAAAAAUACGGAGGAGUGGGUAGUCUUUAACAGGGUAAACACACAACAGCUUUUACUUUUAUAUAUAUUAUAGAUAGAUAGAUAUUGAUGGUCACACCACUUUACCCACUUUUCAUCUAAUUUUACUCAUUUUUUAUACAUUGUCUUGGUCAAUGCAGGGGACGGAGGGAGUAUGAGGCAGUCAAAACUAUAUAACAUCUUGUGUUUUGUUUACAGCCUUGGUUCAACCCAUCUCCAGACCCGUCCCGUACCGGUUACAACCACUUGCCCACUUGGUAUGCUCCGAAUUCAAGAACAUUUGUAUCGAUUUUCCAAGAAUAUUCAUAUCUGUAAUGUUCGAACUUUGAAUGUUUAGAAGUUGAGUGCUAUUGCAUAAGAUAUACAAGCUGCCUGAAAUAUACAAGCUCUUUUCAAGAUUUGAUUAGUUAGCUAAUCUCCUCGUUUGGAUUUUAAUCAUGUAAGUCAUGUUUCUCGUUUUCUUUUUCUUCCUAAUGGUUCUUUCCUUUAUGUACAUGCUUUGAGGUUUUCUUAAUUUAAUCUUAUAUAUAAUCUGUACUUGAUAUUGAAUGAUUCUUGAUUCUUGAUUGUGAUGAAGUUAUUGUCAAUCUGAUUGUUUCUUUAAUUGAUCUUAUAUAUAAUAUGAACUUUGUUUAUCUUUGAUUCUUGAUUUUUUGAUUGUGAUGAAAUUAAUCUUUAAUUGGUUGUUAUAUUAAUGAUCAUCAUCACAUGUAUAGAUGAAUACUGACUGGGAAUUAUGUGUGGGUAGGUUAGAUGAAGAAAUAGCAUUAGAUGCAAUCAAACAUGCUUUGAGGGCUCUUCGGAAACGCCAUUUGGUUGAAGAAGCAGCUCAUGGGCCUGCUUACAUUGCUCUUUCUAGGCCCUUUAUAUCUCAGGUUAGACUCUAUCGGUAAUUAUUGGAAUUAUCUUUUGCCGAUCCUGAGUAAUGUAAUGUAAUAUUGAUAUAAUUACGUCAUUGAACUUGAAAAGGGUUCAGAAUGGAAGGAGAAAGCAGAAAGUCUUGAAACUGAACUUCAACAAUGUUAUAAAGCCCAAUCCCGAUUAUCGGAACAGCUUGUUGUGGAAGUUGCUGAAUCUAGAGCUUCGAAAUCGUUACUGCAAGACAAAGAAGAUUUAAUUGCCAGUUUGCAAAAUGAAUGUAGUCAGUCAAGGUUGGCUUUAACCAAACUCUAUUCAUGUAUUAUGUAUAUCUUCUUUUGGUAAAUGAGGUAGUAUAUGUCAAUAUGUGUGAUUGAAUUGGUUUUCAUGCUGCAGAGAUGAAUGCACUCGUCUAAAAGAACUUUUAGAUGAAAAGACGCAAGCUGUAGAACUGCUUACAAGCGAGAACCAGGAACUCAAGGCUCAACUUGAAGAGACGAGGGUCAGAGCUGAUACUGCUCAGGCUGAAAAUAAAAUGCUAAUUGAUCGCUGGAUGUUGCAAAAGAUGCAGGAUGCUGAAAAGCUUAAUGAGGUAAUUCGGCGUUAUUCAUAAAGUUAAUGUCAGUAAUCCUCACUUAUGGCAUGCAGUAUUAUUUCCUGGCUUGGCUCUCUUAAAUGUCUAUAUUAGUUGGUGUCAAUAUGACAAUCUUUAUGCUAUAACUGAACUUAUUACUUUGUAAAGGUAUAUAUGUUAACAAGGUAUUAUUACUUUGUUUAGCUGAUCAGCAAAGCUUUUCUUGGUUGAAGUGUUGAACUAUAUCACUGAUGAACUUUACACUGACAAUUAUCCCCUCUUAAAUCUUACUAAUAUCAAUCAUCCUCAAAAAAAUAUACUAUAUCUUUAGCAUUUCAAAAAAAGAAGAAGUGAGCGUCGGUAUAUAAAAAAGGGCAAUAGUUUGGGAUGGUGCUCAGUGCUGGAAAUGAAGAUUGUUAUUUACUCUAUUUUUUCCUUCGUAUCAACUUACAAGUCCCAGUAUACUCUUUUUCCACUUAUACUUCAAUAACAUCUACAUUUUAUAGAGUAAAGGUUAUUGCCUUUAUAUUAAUUUGUACUCUAAGCUUGAGUGCUGACCAUUUUCUUAAUGCUAUUUAAGUUUGUAUAGUUAUUGUUCAUUGGUGGGGCAAUGAAUUGUCUAGCUAUGUUACCUGGAGGGUAUGUGUGUCGGACACAUGUAUGAAUUUAAGUGUCAGAUUUAUAGUUUUAAAAAAAUCAGGAUUCUUGGAUAUAGUCUAUAGAUGCAAAAUUGGACAUGGGUACAGGGACUGGCAUAUAAACCUUGACAUAAGUUUUUUUUGUUUGUUUAUAUUGUGCAUUUUAAAAAAUUGUGCCUUUUACCAAUAUAACAUAACAUAAUUAUACUAAUGACCUCUUGGUCAUAUGGUAUUCCUCUUGCUUCUUUUACCAGAUGUCAAGGGUUCAAAUGUGCAAAAAAUAAUUUAAUUGGCUGCACAAGCUUUAUUAUCAUUCGAAUAGAACUUGUUGAUAUGAUUAUUGUUGUGUUAUACGGAGUCUUGAUGAGCUUGGUACUCAAAUAGCCUAAGAGAUAAGUUCUGCCCUUCCAGUAAUAGAACUUGUUGAUAUGAUUAUUGUUGUGUUGUAUGGAGUCAUGAUGAGCUUGGUACUCAAAUAGCCUAAGAGAUAAGUUCUGCCCUUCCAGUAAUCUCUUACUUCAGUUGAAAACUCUCUUAAAUCUAACACAGGUUUUGUGGGAACAAAUUAUUAUCCAUGUUAUAGGCGAAUGCUGUUUAUGAGGAUAUGAUUGAUAAGCUCAAGGCAAGCAGUAUAGAACAGCUGGCGCGGCAGCAAGUGGAUGGUGUGGUUCGCCAGAGUGAAGAAGGUGCUGAGUAUUAUGUGGAGUCUACUAUUCCUACUGCAAACAAACACAAGAUCUCUGCUCAUCAGGGUGGAUGUGCUGCCUUGGUAUUUGAGUAUAACUCUAACAUAUUGAUAAGUGGGGGCCAGGACCAGACUAUUAAAAUGUGGGACACAAGUUCUGGUUCACUGAUCCGCACACUGCAUGGUUGUUUGGGCUCUGUUCUUGAUCUGGCAAUCACCCACGAAAAUAGUUCUAUUAUUGCUGCAAGUAGCUCAAACAAGUUGUUUGUUUGGGAUAAAGAUUCUGGCCGGCUUCGGCAUACCCUGACAGGCCAUGUUGAUAAAGUAUGUGCUGUAGAUGUGAGUAAAUUCUCAAGUCGUCAUGUCGCCAGUGCUGCCUAUGACCGGACAAUAAAAAUUUGGGAUUUGCAGAGAGGCUAUUGCACUAAUACGAUUAUUUUCCCUAGUAACUGCAACGCACUUUCUUUUGGCAUGGAUGGACAUACUAUAUGCUCUGGUCAUGUUGAUGGACAUCUUCGAUUGUGGGACAUUCAGACAGGAAAGCUACUUAGUGAAGUCGCUGCACAUUCACUUGCGAUUACAUCAAUAUCCUUAGCAAGAAAUGGAAAUGUAAUAUUGACAAGCGGCAGAGAUAAUGUUCAUAAUUUGUUCGAUAUGCGAACUUUAGAGGUCUGUGGGACAUUAAGAGCAAGCGGGAACAGAAUGGCUUCUAAUUGGAGCAGGUCGUGCAUUAGUGCAGAUGACAAUUAUGUCGCAGCUGGCUCAGCUGAUGGAUCUGUCCAUGUCUGGUCGAUAUCUAAAGCUAGUAUUGUCAGCACUCUGAAGGAACACAAUUCAUCUGUUCUCUGUUGUUCAUGGAGCGGACUCGGAAAACCUCUAGCCACAGCUGACAGGAGUGGAACAAUCUGUACAUGGACGUGAUGAACUUGUUAAUUGCGGUGGCGCCAUACUGGAGAUCACAUGUACAUAUGUGUUUUGUAUAUUGGUAUCAUGUUCAUUGACUAAGUUCCGUUAAAUUUGUUCAUUAAAGGAUUUGCAUCACACAUAAGUACACUACCAUCAAGUAUAUAAACUGGCUUUAUAUACUCCUAGUAUGCUAAUACCCCAAAAUUAGUCUCUUCUGAGUUGAGACUUGUAAUAAUAAUUCAAUUUCAUGUACAGUGUACAUUACGCAAGCGGCAACACUAUACUUACAAGCCAAGCGAACUCUUUGAUUAUUAGAUAUUCAAUUUAGCAUGAUAGACAUAAAUAACAAGUACUUUUAAUUCCCACCAUCAAAUCUUGUUGUAAAAUCCAUAGCAACAAAACUAUAUUUAGUAUCUACACCCAAUAAUGUUCUUGGCUUUUGCGUGCAGAUCAUCACCCCAUCACAAAUUUAAGCAGUACCUUCAGAGAAUCUACAACUCUCACUAAUGCAAACAAAACUUGUGAACUCAAAACACCUUGUUACUCUAUCUUAGUUUAACAUCUAUCAUUCAAAAUGUUCUUCCACAAUUUUCAUACCAAAUCUUAUUCUCCACCACCAUUAUUACUGCUUGUUCAUGCCCGUAAGAAACCUUCAACUCUAACUCUAUUAUUGAUGAACAAUCGCUUCUAUAAUCGAACCACCUCUGUCUUUAUGUUCAGAAUCUGCUAUAUAAAGAGGCAUUGUCGAUUGCAGUUUCUCUCAUCUUGUAACAAAAACUAGUUUAUAUCAUCAUGGAAGCAAAGAAGCUUGUUCUGGUUUUCCUAUCUCUGGCUUUGGUUCUUGGUCUUUGUCAGAGUUUCGAGUAUCAUGACAAGGAGUUGGAGACGGAAGAAGGGUUGUGGGGUAUGUAUGAGAGGUGGAGGAGCCACCACACGGUGUCGACGAGUCUCGAGGACAAGCACAAGCGAUUCAAUGUGUUUAAGGCCAAUGUUGAACAUGUUCACAGGACAAACAAGUUGGAUAAGCCUUACAAGCUGAAGCUAAACAAGUUUGCACACAUGACUAACUAUGAGUUCCGGAGCCUCUAUGCUGGCUCUAAAGUGAACCAUCAUCGUAGGUUCCGGGGCGAGAAAACAGGAAAUUCAACCUUUAUGUAUGAAAAUGUGCACCGUGUUCCUCUGUCAGUCGAUUGGAGGAAGAAAGGAGCUGUUACACCUGUCAAAGAUCAGGGCCAAUGUGGUAAGUAAAUUACACAUGCUUAAAUAUUGUUUCUCAACAGAUUCUGUUAAUUUUUUAAUUGUGAUUCCAGAAAUUGUCGACAAUUUUGUGUUUCAGGUAGCUGCUGGGCAUUUUCAACAGUUGUAGCGGUUGAGGGAAUAAACUACUUGAAAACGAAUAAGUUAGUUUCAUUAUCUGAGCAAGAACUCAUCGACUGUGACACCGAACAGAACCAAGGUUGUAGCGGGGGAUUGAUGGACUCAGCAUUUGCUUUCAUCAAGACCAAGGGGGGUCUUACAACAGAGGCCAAGUAUCCUUACAGGGCUGAAGAUGGGAACUGUGAUGUUUCUUUGGUAUGAAAUAAGUCAUUAUACUUUUCCACUGUUUGUAUAUUUAAUACUCCCUUCGGCCUAUUUUAAAUGAACCUUUCAAUUUAUAGCAUCCAUUUAAGAUUAUUAUAACAACUCAUUCAUAUACUAUCCUUUUUAACAUCCACUAACUCAUUUUAUGUGGUCCAAAUUGAAGUCAAACAUUCAACUUUUAAAAAACGUGCUUGUCAAACUAACUCAGAUAAAAUGGGACGUAAGGAGUAUAAUUUGAACACGUAUUUAACAUUCAAUCUGUCAUGCAGGCUAGUGCACCAGCAGUUUCAAUAGAUGGACAUGAAGAUGUCCCUGCUAAUGAUGAAAAUGCAUUGAUGAAAGCCGUGGCAAACCAACCUAUCUCUGUGGCUAUUGAUGCUGGGGGUUAUGAUUUCCAGUUCUACUCGGAGGUAUUUAGUUAUUUAUACUUGUGCAAUUCAAAACCUGCAGUAGUACGUACUUGUAUAUUAUCGCGAAUGGAUAGACCUAACAAAAGAGCCUUGAUGACAGGGAGUAUUCAAUGGAGAUUGUGGAACGGACCUGGAUCAUGGAGUUGCAGUUGUAGGCUAUGGAACGACGCUGGAUGGAACUAAAUACUGGACAGUGAAGAAUUCAUGGGGAGCUGAAUGGGGAGAGAGGGGCUACAUAAGAAUGAAGCGAGGCAUAUCUGCUAGCGAAGGACUCUGUGGUAUCGCGAUGGAGGCUUCAUAUCCGAUCAAAAGCUCAUCAAGUAACCCUAGUGGUUAUAUGUCUGCUCUCAAAGAUGAGCUUUGAAGCCACAUAUGUAAAGAUUAUCAUCUAAAUUUCUGCACAAGUCUGGUUAUGCAUCACUUCUUAGGACUAAAAAGAUGGCAUAGUGUCAUAUAGUGUAACAAAUCAUUAGUUAUGAUUGUAUGGGGAUGAAAUAAAUUCUCUCUGGUCUAUUACCAUUGGUUUAUGUUGUGAUGUUUAAGUUUAGGUAUAUAGCAUCUAGAAUUUGAAAACUAUGAGAUCGAAGAAAGAAGCCACACCUUUUAAAGAAAAUUCUAAUACUACAGGAUCCAAUCUCCGUGGAAAUUCCAAUUUUCGAAAGGGUGCUCAACUGUUAUGACGGGUGGUUUGGUUCAUGGUUCAAUCGAAAUCUAAAAUCUGCGAAUUUAUGUUUAAACUAGUAAUUUUAUUGUAUGAAAUGAAACAUUAUUCUCGCUUGAUGGUAAACUCAUUUCGUUUUUUUGGGAUACCCAUCAUUCCUUUUAACUUUUAGGAUAUCUAUUAUUCCUGUAAUUCUUAUUGUCAAUCCUGAUUAUCAUUCCCACCUACUAUUCAAACAUCUAGAAUGAAACAUCUAGAAUGUGAAAUAAAUGAAAUGAAAUCAUGUUAUGUGUAAUUGUUUAUAAAUUUUUGGGACGUUUGGAUGAUAGAUGAGAAUGAGAAUAAAUAUGUCAAAUAAUGUAGAAUGAAUGAUUUACCAAUCAUUUGGGAAUGAAAUUCCCACAUCAUAUCACAAAAUGACUAAUCCAAAAACUAAAACAUGAAUUUGAGAUUUCGUUUUUCGUUAAUCGAACUCAUUAAUCAUGAACUAGCUCAUGUCAUUCUUUCCUCCGUUCAUUAUAGUUGUGCCGGAGAUCAUGCCCCUAUUUUGAAAUGAAAUACUUUAGCUUCUAUAUUUAGUAUAUUUUCAGAUCUCGUCAUAAUAUUUUUGAAUUACUUAAUUUUUUCACAAUUUUUUCCUCUUGUCACCUAUAAAAUUUUAUUAGGAAUAACGAGAACCAACUCCGUUAGACAGUUGGCAGCUAAUUGAAAGAUGUUAUUACUUCAGACCUAAAUAAUAUUCAAGCACCAUAACAUGAAUAAACUUUUUCCGGAGUUUGGACCCUUUUCUCAAGUUUGAGUACGGAAAAUACCAUCGGCCCAAUGCAAUUUUUGACAGAAUAAUGGGCUGAAAGCAAAUAUGGAUGUUGGUCGCUUGGUCUUGUUAAUUAUUAAGUGACUCCAUAAACUUUAACUAAAGGGCUUUGUCAAAUGGGGAAGACACGUAUUAUAGUUAUGCAAUAUCCAUAAUGUCAGCUGGGUGAUAGCUUCUUAUUGAAAAAAAUAAAAAUCUGAAGCAUAUUGAUGAUCAGCGACUUGACAAAGUGCAGGUAUCUAACAUAUCAACCUAAUAAGUAGAGUCUUCAAAAAUAAAUGACACUUUUUGUUAGCCCUAUUGACCAGGGUACGUAUGUGUGAUUCGCGACCUUCAUCUAAUCGGUUAUCUGUCUUAAUUCUAAUAAUGUGUCUAUUUAAUUGAGUGCUCCCUCUUGAAUAAACCAGUGAGCAAGAAGACAUGUCAACAUGAGCCUACGUUAACAUCAUCUAACAAUUGGUUCUACCAUUACAUCAGCUCAUCAUAAUAUAAAGGUAUUAUAUAUAAAACAUUACAUUGGAGAUGUGAUUAAGAAUAGUGAGUUGCGGCAAGAUUUGUGAUUGGUUUGUUUGGUCUGAAAACAUCAUAAUUCUAUCGUAUUAUUAUUCCACACAGCUAACUCUUGCUAGCUGCUUGUGAUCCAAUUCGGUCCGGUUCUAGCGCUUGUCUGCCACAUGCUUCGAUUCCUUUGAACGUCAAUUUCUUGGAGUAUAUAUUAUUUCUCGCUUUUUCAAGUCAACAACUGCAUUUUGGAAACUUUUUGGUUUCGUUGUUAAAUUUUUAAGAAGCUGGUGGCCCGGUGUCAUGUUAUUAUCUCAUGUAUUUCUUUUUGAGAAAAUUAUCAGCUAGAUUUCUGAUUUUAAAGAGAAUAUGCACGGUACUAAAAUAUGCCCCCAUAUUCUUUACCUCAAAGGACAGUCAUGUUUGAAAUAAAUAUGUUUAAUGUGAUAUAAUUAUGAAAGUUGCUGACAUUUUUUUAAUUCAAAAUGGUUGUUUCCCAAAGAAAAUAUUUUGUUUUUAAGGUCAACUGAAUGGAUGACUUAAAGUUAAAGUAGUCCCCCACACUGACGUUCCACCGUUGUUUACAGAUCACGGAGAAUGUAGUAGAUUUCCUUCCGCAGGUCAAAAAACAUCACAAAAGAAUAAUGUACAGCACUCGGCAUUACAUUUUACCCUUCCUUUCGAAUAAUUAAUUCGACUCUUUAUCCCUGGCAUCCCAGAAUAGUGUUUUCACCUUUAUACCCUUUUUCGUUUUUCUUCUAAAUAAAUGCUUUUGUGUACUCCUUCCAUUUCAACUAACAUGUCCACUUUGAAGAAAAAUUUUUGUUUCAAAUUACUUGUUCACUUCAACUUUCAAUGCAAAAUCAUAUUUCCAAAAUCAAUUCUACUCCACAUAUCUCUUAUUUAUAUUUCCUAGAUCAAUCUCACUUCACAUAUUUUGAUCACUCAAUGCAAUUAAUUUGUGAACAACCACUUUUCUUAAACUGUGUUUUUUUUUUUAAAAUGGACAUCUAAUUUGAAACGGAGGGAGUACAUGUUAACAACCUUUGACGAGAUAGUUCACAGCAGGGUGUUUGGUAAAUAUUUUUCAUCUUCUAUCCCGAAUCCUUAAUUUUACUCUCAUUAUUUUAAAUAUUAUGAUUAAUAUUAAUUUGCCCGUUCCUUCGGAAAAGGCUUCCAAGUGGUUAUUUACCUAAGCCAUGUGAUUUCUACUCUGUUUCUCAUGUGAAUACCUAACUUCAAUUACUUGAAAUCUCUUUUAAGUUUUACCCCUAACCACCUAUUUUACUUUGGAGACAUUCACUUUAAAGUCACUGGAUCCGGUAUUCAGCUUUUUAAUUUUCUUAAAUUAUGAAAAUGUAAUUAGAACCGCAUUUCUUCAUAGAUGUUGACAAGUUCGGUUCCUGUCACAAAAUGAUCACAUUUAUCCUGAAAUUUAAUAUUCAGUUAACAAUAAUUACAAUACCUAAAUUACAAUUGUUGUUGAUUAAAUUUAUAUAUUGACCAUCCUGUCAAAAGUACAUAAAAAUAUGUUGACCAUCCAUGGAAUCAUCAGUGUUGGCUUUAGCGAGAGCAUGGAAUGAGAUUCCAUUUUCCUAUUAUACACAAACACUACACAUAGAGCCCAAUGAUGACCCUAAAUUUAAAAUUUGUAGCCUUGCGGUUGUAAUCAAACUGCUCACCUUAUUCUAGUUACCUUCUUUAACUUUUGCUCCAAAUUAUAUAUUUGUUCUUGGUUACUUCAAAUUUUCAAAACAUACUUUGACUGUCAUUCUGAUUUCUUCGUGUCUUUUUAUUUGUCUCUGCUUUACUUGUCAGUAACUUUAGCAUUUUCAAAGCCCACAUUCACAUGACAAAAACUCAGAAACUUCAUUCAUAUAGGUUAACAAGAACCACAAACCUACAACAAAAUACCACAAAGUUUACAUUGUAUCAGGCUUUACAAACCAAAGAUGUAUUAGUAAUAAAAUUUUUAAAAAAAACUAAAAUAAAAAGCAAAUUGGAGGGAAACAAGAGGCACAUAAAGUAAAUAUAAUCCAAGAAGUAGAACUUGGACUAGUUGUGCUCUGCUAAUCUUCUCACUCUCCAGUUAAACAAACUAUGUUUAGGUAUAGGCAAGCAAAUCAAACUUGAAAUAGUAACACAGACUUCAAUAUAUUAAUAAGCAUAUAGAAGUCUUUUUAGUUGGUAAACUCCUUGAUUAAUUAGCAUCUUGAACCCUUCUUGCAGUUUAGUGAGCCUGACGCUGUGGUCAGCUGACCAACUAGACUCGAUGGCCUUGCUCCUAAGCUCGAAGCUCUGGAGUAACUCGACGAAGCCCCCGCACCCGAUGGCUUAAAAAAUGCACCAUUCAACAUCAAAUCCCCUUCUGACCUCCAGUUCCAGUGUCUCCAUUCGCUCUCCGGUGCAUCCUCGUGCUUCGUCACCUGCACAAAAUUAUAAUCUUAACCGUCAAUAUCAAACAAAAAACCAAACUCGACUUUUACUGACACCUUGAAAUUUUGGAAGAAUUAUGCGAGGAUGGUUAAAUUGUAACCUCUUUGCUAAAUCUUCUGUCAGGGGCAAGAAAUCUAUUCCCUUGGCUGUUGAUGGUGGGCGCUGCGCUGCCACCAAUGGCGUACAUUUCCCAAUGGGUGUAGUCAUUGUUCACCACGUGGAAAUAUCCAUGUCUACAUCUGGAAGAAUCAGUAGAAACACACUUUACACAUUAGUGAUCAUAAUGCAAACACAUUACAGUAUAUAUCAAGAAUAUAAAUAUGCUUUUUUUUUUAAUUAUUAUUCAUACCUAGGCAUUCUUUGCACCAGCCCUUCUCCAAAGUGAUUAAAAGCUAUAGUAACUUGCAUGUUCUUAUCUUGACUAUAAGAAUCACUGUGUCCCAGCAGCAUCACCUUAUCAUGAUGCGUCAUGUAAUUGUUCGAUAUCGUUAUAGCCGUGGACCCCAUUAUAGCAUCAAUCAGCCCAUCCUCGCAAUUCGACAAGGAGCAGUGAUCGACCCACACGUGGCUCCCACCGAAUAUCGACACGCCGUCGCCGUCCGAUAUCGUUCUCCACCCGAAGUGCCGUGGGGAGCUCCGCACCAUAGCGUUGCCCCCUUGUUUACAGUCGUGAAUAUUGAUUCCGUGAAUAAUAAUAUUUGUCACGUAUUGUAUUGUUAUGCAUGGGCCACCCGCAAUGUGCACACUAGCUCCCCUCCCAUCGAUCGUUUUAAAAGAAUUCAUAAUCAACUCUUCCUUUAGCUUUAUAACCAUGUCACGCUCGAAAAUUAUCCAUAAUGGCUCGUCUUGAAUCACCGCGUGCCUCAGAGUUCCCGGCUUAGGCGUCACCGGAUCGUCAUCACCGGAAUCCGUAACCACGUAAAUUUUACCGUCUUUUCCGCCGACCGCAUUUUUCCCGAAUCCAAUGGCGCAAUCUGCGAGACGCUGCCGGUUCUUCUCCCAGUUCGGGUCGCACCGCCAGCAGUCGUCAAUCGGGUUGCCGGUUCCGCAGGACAAAAAUCCCAAGUUCCUCCUCGAAGCAUUAAUAUUCCUGCAUUCAACGAAAAAUAAUAAGUAUUUAAAUUUCUGUAACAGACGAUAAUACCGUGGUAAGUGAGAAAAUGAAAAUGUACCAUACCUGUGUACUUCAUGGACUACUAAAUCAGGGUCUUGAUGUGGGGAGGAGGAAAUGAUAGUUGGAAUAAAGAAGAGAGAGAAGAGGAAGAGAAUGUUGGUUGCCAUUGCCAUAGCUCGCCUCUUUCAAUUUUUUUUCUUGAAAGAGGUACUAGUAAAAAAGGUCUCUAGAGAGAGGGAAAGAAAAUGUGAAUAAGGUGUGGGUGUCAGGAGAGAAAGAGAGGCGGGUUUAUAAAGAAGAAAUGUUUAAGGGCGGGGUUAAAUGGUGUGAUUAAACUAAACAUGUGGGCUCAAGUCGUGCUGUGUGAUGACUGCUUUGCCUGAGAUUUUGGGAAAUUAGAUUAAAUCGUCAAGUUAGUUUAGUCUGUUAAACAAACAUUACCUCUUCCAAGCCCAUAUCAUUUUCUGAAACAUAAAAUAACUUGCCCAACAAAACUUCUCACGUCUGUGUUCCUAACUUAUGUUCUACUCCCUUUUCGCGUUUCAGUGCCUCGAUUUUUAACAAACUUUUUAAGGUUUUUAAAGACGUGAAACAAAAAGUAAAAAUUCAAACUCAGGAUCAGUGUUUUACAGAUCAUUGAUUUAUUUAAAAAUUUUGAUUAAUUUUUAAAAAAUAAUUUAUUGAUUUAUCUAUUAUACUUUUAUUUCACUAAAAUUUUCUGAUCAAUUUCUAAUAAAUCAUGAACCAUUAGAUCAAAUAAAUAAUUUUGAUACCUCUUUUGUAACCAGACUGAGGGCAUGUAAAAAGAAUGUAACGACGGUGACAUAGCUUUACUACUAGCUUCGUCGAACCAGUUCUUUUUAUUAUUCAAAACUCAAAAGUAAUGAAUACAAUCUUUACAGAUGUGUUGCCUAACUGGUGAGCGGUGAAUAAUCACAUUUCUCUCUUCUGGUGCAAGAAGUCAUAUAACAAAUUCGAUAUCAAACCAAGAAAAUGUCAAAUGUUUGUGUGACAUAUCUCCCGAUCGCGCAAUUAAUCUUUCGUACGAAUUAUGACCCUUAAUCCUCGCCACAUUCCCGGUUAGCAUACGUACAAGAAAAUCAAAUCGUUGAAUUUUCUUUAUUUUGUCAAAUCUAUGAUGCAUCCUUUGAGAUAAGAAGAUUACAUAAAAUCCAUACCGCAAGUGUCGCCGCAACUCCACAAGAAUCAUUCAGCCAAUUGCAUGCAACUUGGAUGACAUGGCUUUACAGGUGCACAUGUAAAGGUCACACUUGUCUAUUCGUUGACACGUGGACCAGCUAUAAAGUCCAUUCGUUUAGUUAUAUUGCUGACUGGGACUUGACAUCCUCCUCAAGCUACAAGCCUACAAUCUCACAUGGACAAGCUUGAGUGCUCUCCAUAAUACAUACGUCCAUUAACUCUUGCACCUUGACAUUCCAACUUACAAAACCGAUCUUAGCCGUCCAUUAAAAAGAAGAGGUAUUAUCUCUGUCGUUAAAUAGCCCGUAAACACAUACUAAUAAAUGGUGCGGGUCUUAAGUUUUUGGUAAUGUUGUGAAAAACGCAAAUCGAUUUCAAACGGUGAAAUGAGCUUGUGACAUUUUUCUCUUCCUUUAUCCAGACAAAGAAUCAUAAUCAUAAUAUUGAAUAAAACUAAUGUUGUUUAUCUCUCCUUCAAGGAAAAUGAAAGAUAGAUAGAGCUAAGUAGCUAACGUGAGGGGCUGAAUUUGUUAUGAACCAAGAACAAGCCAUGUUAAACAGUUCAUUGCUGAGUGCUGAUGCUUUAGUUUUGGAAGGCGACUUAAUUUCUGAACCUGCUCAGCAACUGUAUACGUGGCACCCGAUAACUCAAGUGCACAUGCACAAGACUAUAAAAAAAUAGUUGUGUAUAUAGUUUCGUUAUCGAAUCCGACUUUUGUCCAUUUACUAGAUCACAAGCAUGUGAUUCAAGAAGAAAACUAGCAUAAAAGCCCGUGCGAGGCACGGGGCUCUAGUUUUUGCUGUUUUUUAAAUAAUAUUCAUAUGUCAUUAUAUUGUUCUUGUACGGACCUUGAGUUUGUAUUAUGUUUUAAAUAAUAUCCGUGUGUCAUCAUAUUGUUUCGAGCGUAACUAUUACGUUUUACUUUUUGACAAAAUAUGUAAACAUGAAAAAUGUAAUAUAUGCAAGCUAAUAGCAUUAAUAGUAAUAAUAAGUACUAUUCCCUCCAUUCCAUUUUAUAUGACCCUUAUUCUUUUUUGAGACAUCUCUAAAAUAAUGAACUUACUAUACUUACUAUUUUUAAACACUACUUAUCACUAUUACACACACUACUUCUCUAUUUUAUACUCUUUUAUAUUAAAUAAACACUAUUACACUCACUACUUACCAUCACUAUCUCAAAUCUAUUAUUAAAUUUUGAUAUAUUCCACCACUUUACCCACUUUCCAACUAAAUUUCCUCUUUUUUACUACUUUUUUCUUAAUCUCCGUGAAAGUCAAAUAAGGUCACCUAAAAUAGGACGAAGGGAGUAUAUUUUUUAAAAAAAUUAUAGAUCAAAAACUACAUUUGAACUGAUAUUUCUAUAUUCAAAUUCGUUAGGAUAUAGAGACCAUCAUCAUAUUAUCAAUGUUCAAAAUUAUAUUCGAAAUUAAUACUGAAAUUUUAAAUUUUAAAUAUAUUAUACCUCAUUAAAAGAAUCUGUAAUUUAUUGUUGAAAUUAUUAAAUUAUUUCAACUAAUAUACCAUGAUUUUGAUAAAAACCUGUUUUUGAUAUGUGAAUUACGAUAUCCUAAAUCAUGAUUAAAUGAAGAUGUGUGGUCCGCGUUGCCCUACAUUUAUUUCUUCUUUUUUGAGCGUACGUUUGCAUAAUUAUUAAAGUGAUACAUGAUGGAGCAGAUCAUCAACACAUUCUUUUUAGCAUAUGUUGCACACAUUUUGUAUAAAUAAAAAUUGAAACAUGUGUUGUACGUAAAAAGACACGUACCUUAUUUUAUUAUAAAAGUAUCAAUUGAACUACUAACCAUAUAAUUGCACCCCAAAAAUUUCUGACACCUUUGAUGUGUCUUAUCCUUUUAUUUUUCAUAUCAAUUAUAUAGUACUUCAAUGUAUUAUAUUUUUAUUGUUAAUUUAAAAAUAUUUGAUGAAUAUUACUUUGAUACAGUAUGUUAUAACAUUAUCUCGUUAUAAAAUUUUAAUUUUCUAUAAUUAGUUUUUUGAGCUUGUCUAUUAAGACUUUUAAUGAUUUUUCAUGUAAUCGUUAUAAAACAGAUCUCAAACAAAUGAUUUUAUGGAAUUUCAAAUAGCAAAAAGAGAGUAGAUAUGAGUUAGGCAUCAUGAAGUUCAUAAAACCAUAAAAUAUUUAGUUCAAUUAGUCGUGUAGUUACUUUUUUAGCUUUGUGCAAACUCACAUUUUUAAUAUUUUGAUACUCGUAUUUAUUAGGAGUGAUCAAUGUGGCAUAUCAUGUUCAAUUGUUAAAGAUCAAGUUAUAUAUUCGAUAUUUUGAAUCAUGAAAAAACUAUUCUUGUUCUAGUCCCGUUUAACCAGAUAUUAGUUUCACCGUAUCGCGUCAGAUUAUCCGGUUCAGAAUUAAUUAUAUUUUAUUAGUUUAAUUUGUAAAUGAUUAAUUUAACUGUAGUUUGAAUCAUUUUAUUUAACUGGUAUGUUAUAUAUUGGAUGAUGGCAUAUUAAAAAUUAUAGUUUUAAGACUUUAAUAUAUAUAACUUAUUUCUCUGUGUUAUUUUAUUUAACAAAGUAAAAUUUAUAACUCAAAUCUUUUUAGUAGUUCUCGUAAACGCGUUUUAUUAUUAUGUGGUUGACUUUUGAUUAACAAUAUAAAAUUUCCUUAAAUUCACCUUCAUAUCACAAGUUAUAGUAUUUCAAAUACAUAUAUCAUCAAAAUUAUAUCAUUUAGAUAUAUUUUCCGACACCAAAUUUGAUGUAUUGUCACUAUCCUUAUAUCUAUAAUUUUUUUAAAAAAAGAUUUAGUUACACAUCAAAUUCUGAAUUCAUAAGUUUAAAAUAAAAAAAUAUUCUACAUAGGAAUAUUCUUUCAGUCACCUUAUUUCGUGUUCUCCAAAAUAUUGUAAUCUCUUUGUAAAUUGCCUUUUAUAAUAAAAGAAAUUAAUAUGACAUAGCCCAUGUUGAAAGCCCAUCAAUUUUUCCUUUCAAAGAUGCUCGCUUAAACCUCAGUUUUUGUACUUAUUUCUCACAUUCAUGACUUAAAAUUUCUAUAAUAUUGUAUCGGUGCUCGUUUAAACUAUUAAGUUAGAUUUGAAUUCGAAUACGAAUUAUAUCUAUUUUUUGAAAUCCGAAUCAUGGCACGAACCCGAUUAUUCAUUUUUUUUUAAUUUUAAAUUUAUUUAUGUAAAUAAUUAAUUUAUAGAUAUUAAUCUAUCAUGUAAACAAUAUAUGAGACUUAACUGAAAUAAUAACUCAUCUCAAAUAAAUAAGAUAUUGAGACGAAUAUAAAUACAAAAGUUUUAAAGUAUGUGAUUAAUGCUUUUGAGUAAUAAACUAAUUGUUUGUGUAGCUCAAGUGGUUUGAGUGAUGUAUUUGUAUUGGAGAGAUCCCGAGUUCGAGCCUCAUGAAUAACAUUUUUUUUUUAUAUAUAUGAGAAGAUGUUAGGUUCGGAGUUAGGCUCAGGUUCGGAGCUAGGUAAUUUAUUUGCUCAGGAGGGAGGCUUGACACGAACCUGUUGGGCUACUAUAUAUAUAAGUAGAUAUGCUAUUCUAACUAAUUAAUUGCCAAAAAAGUCUAUUUCUUCACCCUCUCUUCGUUUCCUCUGUUUCUAUUGGGCUUCCCAAUAUUUGUUAGUUGAAUAAUUUUCUGCUCUGUACCCCUCAUCCCGCCUUUUAAACCGCCUUAUUUAAAAGAGUAUUCAUAGUUUGUUUAUUCGAACAUAAUAACAGUUAUUUUUACUAGAUAUGUAAAAGUUUUUAUCAGAAGAAAAUUUAGUGCAUCAUCAUUAUUAAUAACAUGAGAAUUAAUAGAAAUUUAUUUUUUAUUCUAUGACAGAUCUAGAAAUUUGAAAAUUUUUUGAAUUGCAAAUUAUAAAGUAAUAAAAUUUCAAAUCGAAAUAAUAUUGAGCUCUUUAACAUCAUGUUAGCAGCCGCAUAAUUAUGUUGACAAAUAAAGGAACAGACAGAGCUAAAUCCGAAUAAUAUAUUUGGUGGGCUGCUAAUAGUUACUACGAGACACCGAGGUUGUAUGGAAAUGAAGAUAGAACAUGAAUUAUUUAAGAAGCAAGUGAUCUUUUGUGGAAUUUCUAUAUGCGUAUGGGGGAGUAUGUCUCGAUUUGUACUUAUUAAGCAUGUUGAUAAACAUGCAUGCGUGUAUGUAUAAUAACACGAGAAGCACAUAAUACAUUUGGAUAAUAACCAAUCAUUUUGUGUCAUGGUGUUUUCUGUUUUCAAGUAACUAGUUGAGAAGCCGCGCGUUGCGGCGGCCUAUAAAAAUUAUAUUAACGAUCUAAUAUUAAUAUUUGUAGAAUGCAAUAAUUUUGUGGCUGUAUAUAAAAAAUAUAUUAAUGAUUAAAAAUUAAUAUUUGUAGGAUAAAUUAAAUUUUUUAUUAUAAAAAUCUUGAUGUAAUGCCAAUACUAAUAUAUAAAAUUGCAAAAUUAGACUAUAAUUCAUGUUGAAAAUAUGAAAAUAAAUUUCUACGCGUAAUUAACAAUUUAAAGCACGACAAAUCUUAAUUUUAUUUGUGUUUUUUUUAAAAAGUAAUCAUGCUCUUACAUUGUCACCUUCCUCCAAUUUUUUUGGAUUGAUUGUGCACAAAAACAUCUAACUUAAAUCCGUGCGAUAGCGGUCUAUAACUACCCUAGUUGCAACAACCUUUAUUUUUUAAUACUGUAUGAACAGUCUUCACUUAAAAGUUGUUUGAACGGAGCAAACAGAUAAUGCAUGAAUAAUAUUUUCUUGUGUGCAAAGUAAAUUAUAUAAAAAUUAACAACAACAAACAUGUCCGAUGAACAAAACAAAUUUUAUAAAAGAAUAAUCAACAAACAUACAUUACUAAUAGUUAAUUUAUUGAUAUCAUCCAUCAAUAUCAUGUCAAGACUAUAUUCUUCUCCCGUGUUUGGAUUUGUCGACUCCCACAUAGCGGUUUAUAACUACCUUUGCUUACAACAACCUUUAUAUUUUUUUAAUACUGUAUAAACAGCCUUCACCAGAAGAACGGCAACACCGAGUUAGAAAUCGAGCAAUAGAAAUAUCACCAGAGAGAGCUAAGGUUGUGAUACUGAGAGAGAAGAUUGUGUUAAGAUGAUCAAAAACUCUACAACCUAUAGGGGUAUUUAUAGAUGCAGAGAGACUUGUGUGCUACUCUUUCCCAUAAUUAAAUAAUUAAAACUUUCAAGCUGCUAUAUUCCAUAAAGAAUCUGAAACAAAAUCAGAUUCUGAAACUUGCUUCUAAUAUAUCCGAAACUAAAAAAGACAGUUUUAAUUUUUGAUAUUUUUCAUCUGAAAAUUUCAGAAAAUUAGAAAAAUAAAACGGAGCGAUGUGAGAGGCGCCACCUACACGCGCCUCGCUCCUCCUUUAUAUAGUAACAAAAUCAAAUUAAAACUUUCAAGCUACUAUAUUCCAUAAAUAAUCUGAAACAAAACCAGAUUAUAUAGAAACAAAAUCAAAUUAAAACUUUCAAGCUACUAUAUUCCAUAAAUAAUCUGAAACAAAAUCAGAUUCUGAAACUUGCUUCUAAUAUAUCCGAAACUAAAAAUGGUAGUUCUAAUUUUUGGUAUUUUUUUAUUCAAAAAUUCCAGAAAAUUAGAAAAAUAGAACGGAGCGAUGUGAGAGGCGCUACCUACACGCCCCUCGCUUCUCCUUUAUAUAAGUAUAUUGAUCGAUGAUUGUAAUGUAUUUUUUUAAUAAUUAAUCUUUGAAUAACAUACUUAUAAACACCGUGCAUGCGUGUAUCUACAGAGAUGCUGCAGCAGUCUGCAAGUAUGGAACCCGACCUUUUAAAAGAGAAAUAUCAUUUUAAAAGGGACUCCCUUCGUCAUUCUCAAUUGUUUAUAAUAAAAAACGGGAACUCGACACGCAUUUUAAAACUAGCAUAAAAUACAGUUUAAUAAAUUAUUGUAAACAUUUAUUCUUCUGAAUAAAAGUUUAGUGUUUAUAUUUUUAUAGCUUAUAACCCGUGCAAUGCACGGGCGGUUAAUUAACAUAUAUGUUAUUUUAUUGUAUAUAUUUUAAAUUUAUCUAAUUUUAUUGUAAAAAUAAAAUUAUGAUAGAAUAAUGUGGUUAAAUAAAUGUUUUAUUUAAUAGUUGGAUAAAUUCUUCAUAGUUAAGUUCGUCAAAUGGCUAAUUAAAAAUUAGGUCGAACAUAUAUAUUUUAAUGAGAAUGUUAAAAUAUUUUCUUUUACAUGUUAUAAUUUAAGGAGGCCUAUAAACUCAAAUAUAAACUAACCGAUCAACCUUUUGAUAUUUCAUUAUUAAUAAUUAAUAAUAUGGUAUAAAAUAUAUUAUAAUUUAAAGAGACGCAUGAAACCAAAUACCGACUUAUCAUACUAACCUAAAUUUAAUGUUUUGGUUUAAUAGACAAUAAAAAAAUAUACUAUAAUAUGUUAUAAAUUCAAGAGUUCCGUGGGUCGAAUAUCAACCGAUUCACCAAACUCAACUAACUGACCAACCAAGUGAAAUUUUUAUUUUCAGCUUUAAUAGUGUAAUAAUAUAUAAGUAUAUGAUGGAUUUGUAAUAUUCUUUUUAAUGUGAGAUCAUUAGAGUAUUUAAAAAUAAUGUUACUAACGUAUUUUGGUUGAAUAAUAUCACAUGUUAUUUAUUAAUAAUUAUAUUUAAUGAUAUUAUAUAUUUAUAUAUAUGGCGCCCGUGUUAAUUGUAAAAGUUCGGUUUUUUUAGUUGGAAAAUCUGAAAAAGAUAAUGCAUUUUGAUGAAAAAGGCAAUUACUAUGUUGCUCGAUAUUAACUUAAAAUAUUGAGUUUUUUUAGCUAAAAAAUAUAUAAAAGAUAAUUUAUUUUAGUUAAUAAGAAUAAUUGGUUAUAUAUAUAUAGAUAGGCCCGUACUUCGGCCCAAGUAUCGACCGCCCGACCAAUAUAAUAAAACUCCCUCUAUUUUUUAUUAUUUGACGUUUAGACUUUUGGCACACAUCUUUACGUAUAAAUAUGUCGCCCAUGUCCGUAUUAAUUGUAAAAGAUUAAUUUUAUAGUUAGAAAAUUAAUAAAAAGAUAUAUAUUUUAGUUAAAAAAGUAAUUACCAUGUUUCUCAAUGUUAUAUUAGAUAAUUGAGUUUUUUAGUCAAAAAUAUAAAAAAGGUAAUAUAUUUCAAUUAAAAAGAUUAAUUGGUUAUAUAGAUAGGCCCGUACUUUGACCCAAAUUAAAAAGAAUAAUUGGUUAUAUAGAUAGGCCCAGAAUAAUUGGUUACAUAGAUAGGCCCGUAUUUUGGCCCAAGUACUGACCUAUCAAGUUUUUAAUAUUUCGGCUUUAAAAGGAUUAUUAAUUGGCUAUAUAGAUAGGUCAGUAUUUUGGCCCAAUUAAAAAGAAUAAUUGAUUAUAUAGAUAGGUCCAGAAUAAUUGAUUAUAUAGAUAGGCCUGUAUUUUGGCCAAGUACCGACCGACCAAACUUUUAAUGUUUCAGCUUUAAUAGUAUAGUAUAGAUAUAUAAAAAAAAAGAAAUAAAAAAAAUUACGAACCUAUACAUCCGGUGCUUUUUAAGUGUUGAACAAGGUCUGUCCAACGCUUUUUAAUCGCUGGACUGGGUCCGUCUCACAGUCAAAAUGUGUUGAAUGUAUUAAAUUUUUGUUAUAAUCUUGAUCGCUGGAUAUUCAUCCAACAACCAGGAUAGUUUGUUAGUUAAGAUGUCCCUAACAUACAUAUAUCCCUGACCAAGACCCAUAUUUUAUAUGCACCUUAGCGCCCUCCCCCUCUGUUUCAAAACCCUCGCCUUCUUUUAAGAUUUUUAAGGGGGCUUCCAUCGGUUUUUACCUGUGGAAAACUCCAAUUCUUUUUUUUUCUAAUUUCUUGUUUUGAAAUCUUAUUUUCCAUUCAAUAAAUUCCCAAUUUAUUUGGAUUUUGUUAGGCUCUCCUUCUUGUGAGAGUUGGUUUGUUUUGUUCUGGUAUGUUUUGAUAUUCUCAAUGACCGAGGUUAUAGAUCGGCAUGAUUUUCAUGAGUUUGAUUCAGGUUUAAAAGUUAUUAUGGAUCGCAUCUAUGAUCAAUUGUUCAUCUAUGAUCGAUUGUUCAGAACAGUCAGGCGAAAACCAGUCGGAUGGAAACAUAUGUAUAUAUUCAAAUCAUCUUCAAAUCGCUUAGUUGCCUCUCCAAGAAGAAAGGAUCCAACAACUAUAUUCUUCAGAGAUGGCGUAUGAUUUUCAAUUAAGUAAUUGUAUUUUUAUCAAAAAAUAAAAUAAAAAAUACACCUUAAAAGUUAAAACAUAGGUCAAACAAUCAAAAAAGAUGUGGUAAAACUUAAAAGAAGGAAAGCGGCACAAGAUAGCAUGCUUUGGUAAAGCUUGUCGUUUUUUUUUUCCUUCUGAUUUAGGAUUACUUAGAAAAAGUAUAGAUAGUUUGAAGAGCCCGUCCUACUCGGCCCGUGGUUCAAAAUGGGCCUAUAUAUCUUAAAGCCCUUCUUUCCGACCCAAGUUUUGUUCAUAGGCUGAUAGCAAUUCUAAACCAGGACAGGUUUCGGUAUUUGGUCAAUAUUUUACUAUUCGUUUAUAUAACAUUUCUAGUCUUUUUUGGGUGGCUGAAAAUAUAAUUAAGUUUAUUAUUCUAUAUUAUUUCCUAAAUAAUAUCCAACUUGGUAUUACUGUGAAUCAUUAAAUAAUUAAAUAAUUAUAAAGAUGUGUUUUUCAAUAAAUAAACAAAUUUCAUACAAUAAUACAGUAAUAAACUAAUAAUACCAGAACUGUAUUUGGUCAUGGACUCAUGGGUCGUGUGGGGCAGUUGGGGUAAGGAACCUAUAAACUGAGUAACCCAAUAGCCUUUUUACACUAAAAUAACACCUACAAGGCAACUACUCCAUUUUACACUGACAUCAAACAACGUUUACCGGAGAGUCUGGAUCUCUCAUUUCUUUACUGUUAUUAUUUUGGCGUAUCCCUCUCAUUUCUUCACGUUAUUAUAAAUAGGUGUGUUUCACAUCAUUACACUCACUAUCUUCUCCUACUAUCUUAUGUUUAACAAUAAAAACUACUAUUACACCCACUACUUUCCUCCACUAUCUCAAAUCUAUUAUUAAAUAUUGAUAAGUCCCACCACUUUACCCACUUUUUAUGUUACUUUACUAUUUUUUAUACGUUAUCUUGAUCUCCGUGUACUCUUCNGUUGAGCUACUGUCUACUAGAGUACUAGACUGGGCUGAAGUCUACGCACGUGCUUCUGUGCCCCGCUAAUCCAUUUUCUAUCCGUGUUAUUAAUUUAUUAUGGACUAAAUUAUUGUUUAAUCAGUCAUCAAUUUCGUAUAAUUGCGUAUUUCUCAAUCAUGACCAUGUCAUUUUCAGACUUUACAUCAGCGAGUUAGAGCAUUCAACACAAUAUAUAAAGAGUGCAGGGUUGAUUACAAACGUUCAACUCAAAAUUUUCAUUGUUACAUUUUGUAAAACAGAAAUUACUUUUUAAAAGAUGUGAUGGAAUUUGAGAUGUACAGAAGAUCUGUUCGGGCCAGAUCCAGACCGGAUAAAAAAAUCCGGAUUUUUUUGAAACCAGAUCGGGCCGGAUUUUUUUAAAAGUUGGGUCGGGCCGGGCUUUCUCAAAAAUACUAUGCCUGGUUUAGUUAUAAAAAGCCCGGAUUUUUCAAAAAUCCCGAUUUUAUCCGGAUUUUAUUGAAAAUACUAGGCCUGUUUUAGGCCCUCGGUCCGGGCCGGGUCAAAACGGAUUUUUUUCGGAUCGGAUUUUUCAGAUUUUUUUCCAAAUCGGAUCGGAUCGGAUUUCAGAUUUCAGAUUUUUUUAAUAUCAUGGAAUAGCUCAUUUUAUCUUUAAAUCUCUUAGGUACUGAAUUAAAUUCUGUUUUAUAAAUUAUAUUUAAGUUCAUCUGGCUAAAAAAACAAAAAAAACUAAAGUCGUGUUUAUUUGGAUGAAAUAGAAAAAUCUGUGAAAUGAAAAAUUAUAUGAAAAAAUCAUUAAAGAAAUACUCCUCGUCCCAAAUUAGAUGUAUACGUUCAUUGUUUGUACGUAUUUUGAGACUUUUAUAAAUUAUAGUUCUAUAAUGUUUUUUUUAAAAAAAUUUCCCUGAAUAAAAGUUUAACAUCAAUUUUUUAUUUAAAUAAAAAUUAAAAAAAUAUAUAUUAUAACACUAUACUUUAAAAGAAUAUAAAAAAAAGUGCCAAAAAAUAAUAUAUACAAUUUAUUGAGAUAAGAGGAGCAGUUAAGUAUGAGAAAACUGUGAUGGUAUUUGGUGGGGGUUUUUAAACUGAGUCUCUGGACUUAAAAAGCAACUCAUUCGUAUCAUUUGUUUAAAAAAUUUUAUAGAUCAAUUUACAAUUUACAAGUUAGAUAUGAGAUUAGUAAUUUAAAUAUUUCGUAACUUAAUUUAAAUUUUGAAUUUGAUUUUACAAAAUGUAAAAGAUCACUAUAAAAAAUAAUUUAACAAUAAUUUAUUAUUAUAUCAAUAGUUUUUAUAUUCUCUAAUUUGUAAACAUACAAAAAAUUAUACGAACACAUAAAAUAAAAGUUAAUUCUAACUUAUAAACAACUUCUUGCUUAUAAGUAUCGAACAUUUCAGCCAAACGACCCUGUGAAAAUGUAAGCGAGUUUAAAUUUUUUAUGAUGAGAUUGCUGGGAAACAUGAUAAAAGAACAAAAUAAAUAUUAUUUGUAUUAAUAUUUAAAUUAAAUAAUUGAAUAAAGGAAAUUAUAAUUUUUUUUUAACUCACCUCCAUUUUAAAUUAUUAUUUCAUUUCAUUUAUAUUAAUGCAAGUGGAGACCGCAGUUAAAUUUUUUGAAACAAAGAAGAAUUUUACUAAAAUCAAACAUGCGACAGUGUCUCAACACACGUGAUAGAGGAAAUAAUAAAUCAAUGAAAUUAUUUAGCAUACCCAGUGGAGACCGCAGCUAAUAAUAACGAGAACCAGAUCGAACGUAACGUGAACGGGAAAGAAUCACAAAAGCGAACAUUCUUUAUAAAUACACAAUGAAGGACCACCGCCGGUCCGUCACAUCUCAUGGCCUUAUAAAUCGCAAACGGUGCUUCUUACUUAAAUUCUCACCGUGCAUCUACAGUACUUGUUUCAGCUUUUUUGUCGCUCUAGUUUAAAUAAGCAUUUCCACCCGAAUUUUCUCCUAAAAUCCCAAAUAUACCCUCGUCAAACGCAGUUCCCGAUGUCUUUCCCUCUGCAAAAACUCUGCCACAAGCAACAGCAGCAACAGAAACAUAAUUAUAAAAUUUACACACACACCCUCCACAGCCUACGCAAAUUUACAUUAUUUUAUUACAUCACAGGGACAGAAUAUCUGAGGAACAAGGCAAAAUCAUGAUACUAGAUACAACUACUGUACACGCCAUAGCAGAGUGAGAUAAGGAUUGUUAGCUACUGAAAAUGAAUGCGAUGGCGCCUUGUACAUUUAUAAUCAUUUUUAAACAUAAUCGCCCCUCUAUCUUUAUUAUAUUUACUAUUUUGCCACUAAUAUCCCGUGCUAUUACCGCUCUUCCUCCGCCUAGUCUCGUACUUGCAACUCAACUCACCAACACAAGGAGUACCAAUUUUAUUACACAAGUACUCACAUUUUAUUACAAACAUUAAACAUUAAAAAAAUUAAAUAAGUUUGGGGCUUUGCAUUUUCUUGUUUUCUCCGGUCCCGAGACAAUUUUACACUCUUCCAUUCUUCAAUUUACAGGUUGGUUUUCUCUUUAAUGUUUGUUUUUGCAUACGUUUUUCUCAAACUUGUUCUUGUUUGUUGCUUCCCAUGCUUUGUUUUUAUUCUAUUAGUCCACAUUACAAAUUACGAUGAGGGUUUUUUAUACGUUUCAUUUUGUAACUUAAAGAUUCUAUCUUUUCACCAUUUUCUUGAUUUUUGUAUUCAUUCAAGUUUGCAUUUUUAUAUGUGACUCCCAUCUGUGUUUCUCUUUGCUACACUGGUUUUUUCAGCUCCAGGAAGGUGCAACAAGGUAUAAAAAUAUACUAGUAUUAUAUAUUGGGAACUCAUUAUUCAUGUGUAUGUAAUGUAUUACUGUGUUAAGGGGAUUCGUAUGUACUAUCAUAUAGUGUUGAGCCAUGAAUGUGACUUUGGAUUUUAUGUUAUGCUACAGUUUUUGAUAGCUAUGUUCUACUGUGUUUUUCUGAAAUUGGAAUUUUUAUGUCCUUGUAUGGUGAUUUAAGCAUCUGGAAUUAGAUUUAAAAUGGUAUCUUUUCCAUUAAUGCUUGUUUGUGCUAUAUAAGGUUUUUUCUCAAGUUUGAAUCAUACAUUUGGGGACAAGAUUGCCAUUCCUAUUAUCUUUUCUAAAAUUGUGUAUUUUUCGGUUGUUUGGAGUCCAUGUCGUGUUUGAUUUGAUUUUAGUGGUUUUUCGGUAGAUGAUAAUGUUUGUGUUUGCACUUUUAGAGUGAGAAUGCAGCUUUGUAGUACCGAGGCUGAGUUGUUUGGAAAGUAUUAGAGGUGCAGUUGUGGGGAAGAAUGGAUGGGAGGCGGCAUUCGGUUGAUAUUCCCAUAUCAAAAGCAUUGGUGGCUCUUAGAAGAGUGAGAUCACUGAGGGAUCCGUCAACGAACUGUUCAAGCAGAUUAUCUCCAGUAGUUGACGGUUUGAAUUGGGAAACAAACUCAAAUAAUGGGAUCACUUUAGGAUUUGCCAAUGAUGGAAUUGAUGGCGUAAAUGCUCUAGGAUCAAAAGAUGUAGUUUUGUAUGGACAAAGGAGGGAACAUGACAGUGAAUGUGAGGUCUACUAUUCUAAAAGAAAACACAAUCCUAAUUUUGGCCGUGAUGAGUAUCCGGACUUUGGGGGUUAUUGUCCUGGCAGGACCAUAGAAGAAGAGUCUAACUUGAUCCUUACAAAUCAGGAAGAGAGUUGUGAGAACACAUUACCAAGUGAAAAAUAUUACAGGGAGUACAAGGACAAAAAACUAGGCUUAAUUGGCAAGCCACCUUUAGGGGAUUGCUCGGAAGGGGUGGGCUCAUGUAAUGAAGCAUUGGAAGGAUCUUUGCGAGCUGAAAGAUUGGAUCAAAAUGCUUCAAAGCGAAAUUCUCGAUACAGAAACCGAAUUAGAUCAUCCAGAGCAGGAACAUGCGAUGUAAUGAGUCGUACAAGCAGUCCUUGUUUGUCCAUUGGUGAUGUUCCAGUGGAAAAGGCAAGUUGUAGCCCAUCCUUAUAUGAUAAUGGAGAUGUGGAUGCUUUAUAUCCGAAUGAUCAGGGAUGCGGGAUAAGUCGAUGCUGGUCAAGAACUCCAAGAUUUAGAGAAUCCGAUUUUUCUUCUGAUCUAGAAGAGAGACCACUAAUGUCAGAGGGAGCAAGGUCAAUAGAUCAGUCAGAGCACAGGAGGAGUCGGAAGCACAUUGGUAAAGAGGCUAUUCCAUAUUCGGAGAGUCCUAGGAGUCUGCAUCAGAAAUUCAGGCCCAAGUCUUUCAGUGAACUAGUAGGGCAAGAUGUGGUGGCAAGUUCCCUCUUAAGUGCCAUUGCAAAUGAGAGAAUAAUUCCAUUUUACCUAUUUCAUGGUCCCCGUGGUACUGGCAAGACAUCUGCCUCGAGAAUAUUUGCUGCCGCCUUAAAUUGUCUCUCACGUGAAGGAAACAAGCCUUGUGGUACGUGCCAGGAUUGCGUUUCUUUCUUUUCUGGAAGAAGCCGGGAUGUAAAGGAAGUGGAUUCUGUGAGAAUCAAUCGGGUGGACAGAAUUAGAUGGAUCAUUAAAAGUGCCUCAGCUCCCCCAGUUUCAUCACGCUAUAAGGUCUUUAUAAUUGAUGAGUGCCAUUUAUUGCGAGGAUCUACAUGGGCAUCUAUCUUAAGUGCAGUUGACAACUUUUCAAGACACGUUGUCUUCAUUAUGAUUACCCCUGACCUGGAUAAGCUUCCGCGAAAUGCAGUGUCUAGGUCCCAGAGGUAUCAUUUUCCAAAGAUAAAGGAAAUUGACACAGUUUGUAAACUUAAAAAAAUAUGUGUUGUAGAGGGAAUUGAAUUUGAUCAAAAUGCAUUAGACUUUAUUGCUACUAGAUCUAGUGGUUCACUUCGGGAUGCAGAAAUGAUGCUUGAGCAGCUCAGUUUGCUUGGCAAAAAAAUUACUCUAUCAAUUGCCUAUGAACUUGUAAGCACUUCUCUUUGAUGCAUUUUCUUACAAAAUUCCCGUGUAUUACAAUUUUAUCAUUGUGCAAUACUGAUUCAGGUUGGCAUGGUUUCUGACGAGGAAUUGCUUGACUUACUGGAUCUGGCUUUGUCUUCUGAUACCGCAAACACUGUUAAAAGGGCCAGGGAGUUGAUGAAGUGUAGAAUUGAUCCUAUGCAUCUAACAUCACAACUAGCAAAUAUCAUCAUGGAUAUUCUUGCUGGAAAUUGUCUGGAUGGUGCCAAAAAAAAGUUUAUGGGAAGGCAUACUUGUAUGUGUAUUGAUGCUUCAUAUAUUUUAAUUAUUCUAUUAAACAUAUAUCAAUGUUUUCAUUUGGCAGUUGAACACUUGUAUCUGGAUCUUUUUGGUCUUUCUAAUGUUUGGCCAUGUUGAUUAAUCUGAUAGUUUCUUGUAAGUUGUCGAGGACAUAUGAUUUACUUAUAUUUUAGAUGGUGUUAAGUUUGACCGCUCUUAUCUGUAUUCCUUAAAAUCGAAGUAUCUGACAAGGCUCAUUCUCUCCGGUCUAAUUAUUUAUCUUUUCUUGUUCCUCCUAAAUUUCAAUGGAGUUUUCCCCAUUUUUGGUACUUGGCGCAUUUAUUAGUCGUUGCCUAUACUCUAAGAUCGUGUGCUCUUUUUCUACUAUAUCUCUGUUUCGUGCACAUUUAGAUAUUGUGCUCUUUUCUACUACAUCUCUCUGCCAGUAAACUUUGCUUCAGGUCAGCAGAAAGCGGUACUGCAUUUUAUUUUACAAUUUCUUUAGUGUGUACACCUGUAUCAUUGCUAUCCCUUUUAAAUCUAGUUAAGUUGUUGGCUAAUCGGGAGUUUCAUUUUUGCAAAUGUAUAAAUGAUUGGUGGAAUAUAUUUGGAGUGGAUUACCCUGUUUAAAUCUAGGUUGUGUUAUAGUGCUUCUGUGUCUGCUCUAACGUUUCUAUUAUUUUGUUGGUUAGCUGAAGCAGACCUCCAGCAUCUCAGUCACGCACUAAAAGUACUUUCUGAAACUGAGAAACAACUGAGGACAUCUAAGAACCAGACCACGUGGCUUACUGUAGCUCUUUUGCAGUUGAAUUCUGGCGGUUCUACAAUAGAUGCAAAUGAGACAGCAUUAUGUAGAAGUACAGUGCAUACAAGAGGUAUGAAUGGGACAGCAUAUUUUGGUAUACUUGCAUCAUUCGAUAUAACUGAGGUGAACAAGUCUUCUUAAUCUACUUUUUUGAUUCACAGACGGUGAGUUCUGCAGCUCGUCAUAUAGUGGAGAGAGUUCAAAGCAUCAUGUCACUUGUGCUUGUGGCAAAUUUGAUUCUUGCAAAAUGGGGACACAGGAAGGAAAGGGAACACUGGAAUCUGUUUGGAGCAGAGCUACAGAAAUUUGUGAAUCUAAGUCACUCCGAAAUUUUCUUCAGAAAAAAGGGCAGUUGGCUUCUGUUUGUUUUAAUGAAGGUACUUAAAUAUGUGAUUUUAUGUUGCGUAUGUAGGUAAAACAUGGUUGAAAUUUAACACAAUUAUUUUUGUCAAAACCUUAUUUUUUUGUUAACAUUUUUAAUUUUUUUUAACGUUUAAAUAUCUUUUUGAUGUUUGUUUCAUAGCAAAUAUCUUGUUCAUACUUAUUUUACGGAUUUUUGGGUUAAUUGGAAAAAAGUAAAUUCUUUAUAUUGUAUUCUGAAAAUAUUUUAGAUAUAUGUACACAAAUUAUAAUAUUUAACCGGAUGCUCACUACAGAUAUCAUGUCAGUUAUCCCUCUUAAUGCCAACUUAAGUCUAUAUCUUACAAGUACUCCUUUUUCAGGUGUGGCUGUAGCUGAACUAGAAUUCAAAAGCCCUGCUUAUGUAGCGAAAGCUGAGAAAUCCUGGAAAUUGAUAGCUGCUGCAUUGCAAUCUACUUUGGGUUGUAAUGUUGAGAUAAGGAUUAAUCUUAUGCGUAGCAAUUCUGAGAUCAAGUCCAAGAAAGUGAAGAAAUCAUCAUUCAGCUUGUUUAGUUGUUCACGCAGAAUUGACCGACACUCUACCACCGAACCUGGAAGUGAUCCUUCUGAAAAUUAUACAUCAUUGUCUGAAAAGGCCAUGAUAAAGGAAAAAUCAGUUGCAACAUGUACCUCUGAUUGCGGGUCUCAAAAGUCAAACUCACACAUUUGCUGUCACACACAAGAAACAGUAAAAACUCUGCGGGAUAGUGAUGGAAAUGCACUUAGUGUUGAAACGACUACGUCAUAUAGGUUAUUGCCUGAGAAUACACCAAAACCGGAAUAUUGUAAAGAUGAUUGUUGUAAUGGAGACGAAAUGAACUGUAAAUUUCGGAAUGUAUACUCUGACACUGCUGAGAAGCAGCCGGGCUGUUUUCCGAGGACAAUGAAUCUACAUAAGAAGUUACACACAUCAGGCAACAGGCAGAUGGAUGUUUUCAGUAUGCAACCAGAACACCACCUUGCAUUGGCCAACCAUGGUCAAACACCGCCUCAAGGUUAUUUCUGUGCCAGCGAUCCUUACAGUUUCAGCAAAGAUUGUAAGAACAACACCGAGUGUCAUGGAUAUGAGAACAAGUGAGUAUUUUUCGUCUCUGUCAGAUGUAUUUCAUCUUUUGGAUAUUUAUAGAUUCUAAACCAUAAAGAUUGACAUAAGUAUCAUGGAUCAGAUUAACUAAUGUGUUAGAAAUGUUGAAGUUAUUAUUGAUAAUUAACUGAACUAAUGGCCUCCUUAGUCCUUACUAUGCAUCUGUUACAAAACUUACAUGCUUGCUACUGAGAUGAUUACUGUCCGUCUUAAUCAAUUGCUGCCUUGUAUAAUUCUGGUCAAUUUGCAAAUUCAAGUCAAGGAAGGAAAGAUUCCAAGGUGUACUGUUGGAGGACUCCUACAUUUCCCUUUAAGAAGGUACUGACUGUAAAAGCAUGUCCGAGUUUAUUUCAUAUCUGAUACAAGUACAUAGUUCCAUCUUAAUAUAAUCCAAUUUAGAUCGGUAGGGAGGCUGACAAACCAUGCUAGAGAGACACUUUGUGAUCCUUUUAUAUAUAGUGUUAUGUUUGUACAGAGAAUACCUUCGUGAAUUUCAUCAUGGUCGUAAAUCUCGUCCUUGAAAAAAGCAGCCUGGUUAUAGUUUUUAACCUUAGUAUAUAUAUCGAAAGUGUUCAAGUAAUUAGCAUCAUAAGAUCUGAUUGUUAUAAAGCAUGAAAAAUGAUACCACAUAAAAAGCUUACCUAUUAGUUCCGUGCUUUCAGGCUUGGCAGUUGAGACACCAGCAACCGCAGAGAACACACCUGGUGGGGUGGGUAUUUCCUUGUGCUGCAGCUAAGCAGUAUUAGAGUUGACAUGAAGCAGCUAUAUACCGGAGAAGACUCUGCAGCGUACAAAUAUUAUUGGUCUUCAUGCUUUUAAGGAUCAUGCAACUUCACAUGUAUAGCUUGCACCUACAGUGUUUUGGCCAUGUGUGCAAAUUUGUAGUAGUAAGCUUUUAGGACAAGAUCUUUACAGAUUACAUGAUCUUUACAGAUUACAUGCUAUUGCUGUUAUACAGUGCCUUUGGCUUAAACUUGAAGGUUUUUAGCUAGUCCCAUAUUUUUGUCUCCGGGAGUUGGGAAAAAUACAUAUAGUAUAAAUUUCGGGUAUCUAUCAUCUUACAUUUUUUAAAAUUAAAUUAAUUAUAUAUAUAUAAAUACACACAUAUAUAUAUUUUAAAAUUAUGUGUCAAACAAAAUAUAUAUAAGAUGGAGAGAGUAAUAUACUAACAGUGUUAUGCUACCAUGUUUAAUUUAUUUUAUGUUUUAUAAAUUUUGAAUGUAAAAAAAUUAUAAUCUUUUAUAAGUAUUUAUUUGUUAAUGGUAAGUAACACUAGAUACCUACAUACUUAUACUUAGAAAUAAGUGAAUAAAUAUAUAAUUUGUUUUGAAAAUAGGUUUAUAUGAAAAUGAGUCGAACACUGCUAAAAUUAGAAGUAAAAACAUGUUCCCUAUAGCAAACCUUAGAAAUGAGAUUGUAAGAUGAAAAUAUGGUAUUGCAUCUAAAUAUAAUUAAGAAAAAUCUAAAGCAAAACCUUGACACAAGGGGUUCAGUGGUUCACAGCCACUAGCUACAUUUUGACGUCAGUCUGACAUCUAACAAUUUCUAGCAUAAAAAAUUAUUAAUUUUUUUUAUAUAUUCUUUUGUUUCCGUUUCGUGUGCAAAUAUACCAUUAAUUUUAAAAUAACAUGUAAUUUUAAUGAUGAACAGAAAAAUGGGACAACAUGGAUAUUACUAUUGAAAAUUGCAUAAUAAUUUUCUUCUGCAAGGAUUUGAUAAAUUUGAACCUGUGCACUUAAACUAAUUCUUAUAUUUGACAAAAAAAAUUAAUAUAAUGAUAAAUCUUAUUCAUAUAUUUUAACAAAAUUAUCAAUGCACAUAUAUAUACACUUUAUAAUGUUCAAAAUAGUAAAUUAUCAAAACAUAUAUACUUUAAUAAGUUCAAAUUUCUAUCUUUCAUAACAUCAUAUUUUUUUCUAAUAAUUUUAUGUCUAGAUAAUAUGUUUAGAUGAUGAAAUUCAAUUUAUAUUUAAUUAAAAAAAUAAUAAUAUAUAUAUAAAUAAAAAUUUCUUCCACAAAUUUCAGUAUUCUUAUUUUCAUGAUCACAUAGGUAUCCCAGUGUUAGAAACUCAAAAAUUCUACUGUAUGUGUAUGUGAGGUUUUCUGAGGAAACGAAUUUUAACACAGGUCAAAACGUUAAGAAUUUGAAAUGUAGAAAUGGAUAAAUUUUCGGUUAUGAGUAAGUUUAUCCGAUACAUCUUUGGUAUGACAUUGGAUGCGCCACAAACACACGUUGAAAAACAUAAUUUUUUAUAUUUAUUUUGUUUUCGUUAUAAUUUGAAUAUCCGAUCGGGUUAAAAAAACAAAACUGAAGUUCUAAAAAAAAUACAAUAUCGACACAAAUCUAGAUAUUUUUAUUUUUAUAAAUAAUAGGAUACGUUUAAGUACGAGUCUAGGCGUUCCCAAGUCAAGAACUCCAAAAUAAAAAAUAAAAUCCUCACAAAAUGAAAAUGUUUUGAAAGUUAGAGUUUAUCCGAUAAUCUAUCUUAAAUAGUAGUUCUUUUUCAUCCUACAAGUAGUUUAAAGCUAGCAGUGAAAUAUACGUUAUUUUAAAAUUGUUUAAAUUAGUUGUGUGAAUAUAGUCAUUAAUUUACAUACAUUUGAAUAAUAUUAUUGACUUUUAUUUCUAAAACUAAUUCCAUCAAACAUAUUAUUGUUUUUUUAAAGAUCGAACAUAUUAUUAUUAAACAUUAGAACAAAUGGAAAUCAUCGGUAGUAAAUUUCUCCAAUAUGUAUAAUUUUUUCCUAAAAGGAGUCGGUAUAUAAUAUAUUGAUAUGAAUCUCCUUAUUGUUAUUUUCUUAUGUGUGCCAUAUGUCAUACAGGUAUUUCCAUUUCAUCUGUUUUAGAUUUAGUAAAAAAUUAUUACUAGUUAUGGCAGUUUUCUUGACAAAAAUAUCACAUAAUAGAAGACCGUUGUAGAUAAUGAAACCCUUGAUAUCAUGUAGUAUAUAAAGGGCAAGAGAGCCGAUGGCAAAGACACUAAAACAAGCCUACUACUCUCUCUAUAAUCCAUUCUCUCAGUAUUCCAUUUCAGAUAUCUAUACACAACAAAUAUGGGGAAGGGUAACAAAAGCUUGGUGGGGUAUGAUUGGAAAGUUUUUCUAGUGCUAGCAGUGUCUUUAAACAUUGUUUUGAUAUCCAAAGUAGUGUAUCAGAGAGAUGGAGGUCAAGAAAACAAGAUUGGCAUGCUUUGUGUAGAUGCGGAAAGUGGUAAAUAUGGUGAUGUGCAUGUUGAAACACCGUCUCCUACAACCAUUUCUAGUAACGAUGUUCACAACGAUGUUGGGGAUGUUGGGGACGGUGCUGAUCACAGUGAUGCUCACGUUAUUAUUGAUCUUGAUCAGUGAGUUUUUUGUUCUAUCUGUAAAUAGUUUUAAACAGCAUGAAAAUCUUUUCAUAAAUUUUGAAGAUCUAUUUUAUGCCAUGCAGUAUGUUUUAUUUGUAAUGUUUUUGAUCUAAUAUCUAUGUAAUUCAAUGCAGUGGCAAUCCAACGAUGUACGAGGAGUAUUGGAGGCAGAUGGGCGACAAAACUACCAUUGUGAUACCUGGUUGGCAAUUCAUAAGCUACUUUUCCGAUAAAAAUAACAUUUGCUGGUUUAUGGAGCCGGAUUUUGCCAAGGCGGCUAUCAGGUUGCAUAAUUUGGUCGGAAAUGCCGCGACUCAAGACCGUUACAUGGUGGUAGGCACAGGUUCCUCACAACUCUACCAAGCAGUCCUCUAUGCCUUAACUGCCACAGACAAUUCUAAGCCAAUGAGCGUCGUAUCGGCUGCCCCAUUCUAUUCUGUAAGUUUAAUUUUUCUUAAAAUUUAUCGUAUCAAACCAUGGUAGCAUUUGGAAUAAUUGUUUGCAUCGCAUGCUUGCAGGCUUACCCAGUAUUGACCGACUUAUUGAAGUCUGGACUCCAUAAAUGGGCUGGUGAUGCGUACAAUUACAGUACUAAUGAGCCGUACAUCGAGAUUGUCACUUCUCCUAACAAUCCUGAUGGCUCCACAAGACGAUCUGUGACAAGCGGAGAUAAACGAAUAUUAAUUCAUGAUCUUGCUUACUACUGGCCUCAGUAUACUCCAAUCACUCAUGGAGCAGAUGAAGAUAUCACCCUUUUUACCAUGUCCAAAAGUACUGGUCAUGCUGGGACUCGUAUAGGGUAUUAAUCUUAUCCAUAUCUGACAAAUAAAUAAUCUGAUAAUAAUGAAUCUGUUCAGAGCUAAUUUCUCGGCUUUCUUGACCUUGUAGGUGGGCACUUGUUAAAGAUCCAGAAAUCGCCAAGAAGAUGACUAGAUAUAUCGAGAUCAGCACCAUCGGUGUGUCCAAAGAUUCACAGCUCCGAGCAGCAAAGAUUCUGCAAACUUUGUCCGAUCAAUAUAAUACCACCAACAAUGCUGAAGGGAAAGAGAGAUUCUUCGACUACAGUUACAACGUCAUGUUAAAGCGGUGGAAGGAACUUCGAGCAGCAGUAGAUAACAAUGAAAAAUUCAGCUUGCCGAAAUUUUCCCCUGAUAACUGCACAUUCAGGGGACAAAGUUUCGAGCCACAGCCUGGUAACUGAGACCCCAAGUCACCAAACUAAUCUUAUUCUUUUUUGGUUAUGUAGCUUAUAAUCUAAUGAAAAUCUAAUUAUUUUUUUGUAGCUUUUGCAUGGCUGAAAUGUGAGGAUGAAAGUGUAGAUGAUUGUGCAAAUUUUCUUCGAGGCCACAAUAUACUAGGCAGGAGCGGAAAAUACUUUGGAUCCAGCCCCAAGUAUGUGAGGAUCAGCAUGACGGAUAGCAACUACAAGUUCAAGAUUUUGACCAAGAGAUUGGCUGGUCUCAAGUCUUUAGAUAUCUGAAGUUUCCGUUUAACUGGAAAGCGGACGGGCUUGUAUUGAUGUUCCGCUGAAAACGUAAUAUUUAUAUGUAUCUGGAAUCCAAUUCCUAAUACUAUGACGAAAAUAUGACAAUCCUGUUGCAUAAUAUAUCGAUUCUAAUAAUACUGUUUGGAUGCUCCAUUUUGUGUUUUAUCGUCUCUUUUUCUCCAGAAAGAAUCAGGAGAAAUUUUAAUUUUAUAACCGAACUAAAUUAUUUAAUUGCCCAAAAAAAAACAUGAAAACGUUGUUUACAUUUUUUCUUCUUGGUUUGACACGACUCUGGGUAUUAGACGAAAAAGUUUGAUCCUAAUUCCUGAGACAUAUUAUGAUUUAUGAACCAGUUCAGUCCAAAAAUUGGAUCCUGCCGGUAUCCAUCUAUACGGGCUUCAAACUCUAAAACCCACGGCCCAAUAUCAAUAUUUUGCAAUUUUUAUUAAAUAAUAAUUAUAAUGAUAAUACCUAAGUUAUAAAGUAAACCAAUUUGAUUUAUAAAUAGAAUAAUAUUAUAUUUUUAUAAAUUAAUCAUAUUUUGAUCACAUUUAAAUUUUAAAUAAAUUUGAAAGCAAAAGAUAUUUACUUUUUAUUUUAUUUAGUUUUAAGUAAAAUUAACUUAAAUAAAAUAAUUUGUGAUCGAUGAUAUUUGAACCUAAUAUAAUUCUCUGUAUAUUUUUAAAAUAUAUAUGAGUUGAUUCGCGGAAUCAAACGUGAGAUUAUUAAUUAUUAAAUAUGAAGUUAUUAAGAAUACUAUUUUUGAAGUUGUGUAUUUUCACCUCGUGAAUGUUCAAUACAAAAUAUUAAAUUGGAUGUUUUAACUUUAAGUGGUGAAUGUCAGCCUACUACUGUAUAUUUUAUGAUCCCAUGAAAUAUAAGAAACAUGAUUUAUAAGAUUCAAAUAUAUAAUUAGUUAUAAAGUGAAAUAAAUAUUGACAACUUAUAUUUUAUAAAUGAAGAUCGAUUGAGUGCAUAUGAAUAUCUCGUGGACAAUUCUGACUUUGUAAAUUCAGUUUAAUUCGAAUUGUGGACGAGGAAACUAUGACUCAUUUAUCGACAUAUUUUUUUAUCCAGUUAAAAAUUCACAUCAGUUUGACUCAUUUUAGAAAUACAUGAACUCUCACUAAUUAGGGCAAUUGACUCGGUUUAUUUUCCGUCUAGAAUAAAAAUAUAAAACCCGAGACUCUAAUGUAAUACAAUCUUUCAGCCCGUCCGAUUCUCGCAUGGAUAUUCAUCUGCCCAUCCAUGUACAAACCUUUUGAAACUCUAGCGACAUGCUUAUUAUUGCUUAAUGCUUUUUCUCUUUCUUCUAUAUUUUCACUCUGCCGGAAAGUCUGGUUCAAUGUAACUCAUGUACCACCCUCACUUUGCAUUGCCCAAAUCUCUCUCACAAAUCUUCUUUAUUCUCCAGAUGUAUUCAAAUUCGUAACUUUUUUGAAAACGCCAACAUGAGAAUCAUUCGGGGCUACAAAAAAAAGAGAUGAUAAGAAUCAUUUAGCUAAAAUGCGAAAUACUAUGAAGAUAAGAUAAUGUGUCCAAUUCGUCCAUAUCCACCGUAAUCGAUAAAGAAAUGCUGUUGGAUAAAUUGGAACAUAGGCAUGUCAACUUCAUAUUUAUGCACGUUCUUCUAAGGAGAAUGUAAAAUGUAAUUUUUUUUUAAUAAUUAUUGUUAAUUUGAAUAAGAAGAUAUCUUUUAUUAAAUUGAGAUCCAUACUUUUAGCUGCAAAUAUGAACUAAAAUAUUUUUUUACUAUAUCAAAGUGAAAUUCACACUAAAUUUAUUUUACAAAUUCAAUCUUCUUUUUUAUCAUUUUUUCUCAACUUAGGGCGGUUAUAUUUUCUUUGAUUCAUAUUUAGAAUUGUGAAUAUAAAAAGAAAUUUUAGAAGAAACAUGGAUUUCUUUUUUAUAAUAUAAUAAAUUAAUAAAAAUAUUAUUCUCACACACAUCUACAGUUUAAGAAAAAGGCAUAUUUACUAACCCAUACGUUUUUCAUUUCACGGCCAUGCCUAUAUAUUCGCUUGCUGUAUGCCGCAUUUACAUCUUGUAGAAUAUUGUAGAGAUUUCGAUAUUACACAUCACACGCAGAAUAAAAUAAAAAAACAAUUACAAUCAAAAAAAAUAAAAGAAAUAAAGCUUCCUUUUGCCAUAUAUACAUACACACAGCACAAACAUAAAACUACUUGUACUGAAUUACUGGGAGCUUUCACACCAAAACUUGAGGGGGUUUUGUUUGAAAUGUGAAGAAGAGAUGGAGGGCAUUGAUGAAAAGCUUGAUCUUUCUGUUGAUUCUCAUAACCCAGUUGAAGAUAAUCAACAAGAGGGGCAGAAGCUAGGGUUAGGGUUUGAAAGCCCAAAUCUUGUUGAUCAAACCCUAGAUCAUCAAUCAGGAGGUGAUCAAGAAGAUGGGUUGUGUCAGAAGCUUGAUGAGAUGGGUGUGCAAGAUAAAGAUGGUUUGAUUGGUGAAAAAAAGAUUGAUGGGGUUGGUGAAAAGGAUGAUUUUGAGGGUGAAAAGAAGGAUUUUGAGGGUGAAAAGAGGGAUGAAGGCUUUGAAAAGAAGGAUUUUGAUGGUGAAAAGAGUGAUGAGGGCUUGGUAAAGAAUGAGUUUGAGGGGGAAAAGAGUGAUGAGGGCUUGGAAAAGAACGAGUUUGAGGGUGAAAAGAGUGAUGAGGGCUUGGAAAAGAACGAGUUUGAGGGUGAAAAGAGUGAUGAGGGCUUGGAAAAGAAUGAGUUUGAGGGUGAAAAGAGUGAUGAGGGCUUGGAAAAGAAUGAGUUUGAGGGUGAUGUGAAAGAGGGGGGAGCUGAAGGUGAGGUAGAUGAUACGAAAGGCGAUGCGAAUGGGGAUGAAAGUGAGGAGAAAGGAGGAGAUGGAGGUGAUUUGAUGGGGGUGAAGGAAGGGGGGUUUGAGAAGGAGGGGAGUAAGUGGAGUGAGAUUGAGGAAGAAGAGGAAGAAAAGGAGAAUGGGGGUUUUGAAGUGAAUAAUGAUGAGGGUUUUGCGGGCGAAAGAGAAGAUAUGACUGGUUAUGGUGAUGGUUGGGAUGACAAGUGGAAUGAUGGUUCUGGGAAAAAUGUGGCUGAUGAAGGGCAAGGAUAUUAUGAUGACUAUGAGAAUGGUGGUUAUCCGAAGCAGUAUGACGAGGAAGAACGUUGGCAUAGUAAUGUGGAAGGGGGUUCUGUGGGAUUUACUGAUGGGAAUAAUGGGAGUUACCCUUAUCCGCUGAGGCCUGAUGCUGAGGAUUGUUCAUUCUAUAUGAAGACUGGGGCUUGCAAGUUUGGUUCUAACUGCAAAUUUAAUCACCCGCUCAGGAGGAAGAACCAGGUAUGAUAUGACUUGUGAUUGGUUUGAAUAAGUUAAGGGUUAGUGUUGGUUACUCUUGAAAUGUCUGUAGUAAUUAAUUAGUAAAAAAUUGUGUGUUUCAUUAAAAUGUUAUACAUUUGUUUAAUGUAAUAAGUUUUUGACCUUGGUAAGAGAAUAUAUGGAGAAAUUAUUGGCUUGUUAGUCUAUGUGAAGACUAUAAGGAUAAACAAAUUUUAUUUAUAUUGCUAUGAACCUCAACUUUUGCAGGCAUCCAGGGACAUGUUUAAGCAAAGGGAAGAGAAUUUUGAUAGGCCUGGGCCAACAGAAUGCAAGGUUACCAUCACUAUGGCUCUCUCUCUCUCUCUCUCUAUAUAUAUAUAUAUGUGUGUGUGUGUGUGUGUGCACGCGCGCGCGUGGGUGUGUGUGAGAUUAUUUUUUUAAUGUAUAUUAGGAAUUCAUGACAUUGUUUCCCUUCUUGCAGAUCUUCUCUGGCAUACAUAUAUAUUUGGUUCUUGAAGCAUUAUAUAUUUUGAAUUCAUAUUUUGAUCAUAAUCCUCUGAAUUCAUAUUUUGAUCUGUCUAGUUCUAUUCUAUGGGACUAUAAUGUCUUUUAAGAGAAGGUAGUAGGGUACUAUAAUCCCAUAUAUAUGAGUCAAAAAGAUAAUUGAAUAUUUCAUGAGAUUGCAAUCCUUUAAAUUUAGAGUAAAUAAGGUAAUUAUCCGUGGAUUAUAAUCCACCUAAACAAGCAUGGCCCAGGAGGAUUAUUUCGUUUGAGUCUCAAAGCUAAAAAUGCUAGAAACAGUGUAUUUAAUAAGAAUUAUAAAUUGUCUAUUCACCACUGUAUAUUUUCAAGUUGCUUUAAGAAGCCUUUAUUAGAGAUGCUAAUUACUUGUCAUGAAACUUCACGUUAUUUGGUAUCUAUGUAAGCUUACAAUGUUGGCUUUGUAAUCUUUUUGCCUGCCUCAGUAAGAGUGGGAACCAAGUUCCAGCUAACACAUUGAGAUACUUUUUUUUAAUUAUUACAGUGUGCAUAUGUGAUCUUUGCUAUGUUACUUGGACUCGGCUAGCAGUGUCCGACAUGGAUAUGUGUCCAUGUAUCGGACUCGGUAAUAUUUUGAAAAAUGUACAUGUUAUUGGCCUAAAAAAAGUGUCCUAGUCUAUGUUUGAGUGGCGAGUGUCCGACAUGGGUACUUCAAGGCAAAAUGAAGAGUCCGAGUAACAUAGGAUCUUUGUUAUUGAAGUUUCCACUUUUAUGUUGGUUAAAAUUAUUAUAGCCAAAAUCUUAUUUCCUCUCCCUUUAUUGCCCUUUAUUUUGUCUAGAAUUACAGCAGAUGUUGCUUGUGCAGUUAUACUCAAUCUCAAGUAUCGAAUUUAAAAAUUAAAGAGAACAAGAAUUAUGACUAUUCCUCGAUACUAAUUACCAUAAUCUAUUAAAUUAUAGUUAGUUUUAGUGCUGUCAACAAAGAUUGAUUUGUAUAAAUGUCAUGCUGUUAUAAAUUCAAGCAAAUGUUGCUUGUCCAUUUUAUUCCACUUUGAAGUAUAGGACUCAUAAAUGAAGUUGCCAAACUGUUAACCCCCCCUCCCCUUCACGUUUUUAUUUUCCAAGUUGUCUUUUCACACUUGUUUAACUAUAAGAGGAAAUCCCAACAAUUUUAUAUAUAUUCUCUAAUAAGUUGAACUUGUAUAUGUUAUGUAUUCUGAUUUAGGCUGCCAACUAUCAUUUUACAUUGAGUUGCAGGCUUGCAGCUCCAUUAUUCUUUAAUUUAGAAAAGAGUAGGAGAUAUAGUGGAAGCAGCAAUAUUUUUUGUGUCCCUUUAUCUUCCGUUUUUAUUGUGGUUUACAAUUUAACAUUAUGGUAUAAUUCUUGACCAAUUCUCUGCAUUCCUUGAUGAUGCCAUAAUGUACUUAGCACUGACUUGCAACGCAACUACUCAAGUUUGCAACAGUUGCCACCCUUGACAUUCUUCGCUUUGUUUUUUGCAGUAUCACUCGACACCUGGUGGUUGCAAAUAUGGAAAAGCUUGUAGAUAUAAUCAUGGCAGACCAAAACCUGCAGUGGCUCCAGUCACAGAGUUUAACUUUCUUGGUUUGCCAAUGCGAGUGGUAAAAUUUCCUCUUCUUUCUCUUUUUAUUUUUUGCUGUGAUUACUCAUUUACAUUCUCACAGGUAUUAAUGGAAUCCAAACAUUAUGCAUUUUAUCUGCAUCAAACUAAUGAGUGUUCGAUCCAAAGCAGAUGCAGAUAUGGAUGUAUCUAUAUGUGUAUUACUUGUAUGAAUGCAAAGUUGUAAUCAUUAAUUUCAUUUUUUUUUCAUGGUUAAAAAGUAAAUAAUUAUGUUCAUUAUUUUGGUCGUGGUUAAUACAAUAUUUAUGCUAUGCUAACAGUUAUCUUAAUAAUUUACAAGCAUACAUUUCUUCGGUAUCUCAUUAAUUAUCUACUUUUGUUUAACAUCUAUUUUUUCUUAAAAAUUAAACGGCAAAUUGAUUAAAGACAUGUAUAUCCAUGUUCAUGAUACAGAUAUCAGUUUAGUGAUAUGUAUUUGUUUGUUUCAUCGCUUUCCUAGCAACACUUAUUUAUGCAGUUUUAAUAAUCUCUACCAUUUUUUCCUCUUGAGUGCAUUAUUAAGAAUACUGUGAUGAGCUUUUUGACCGUGUAACAGGGAGAGAGAGAAUGUCCCUAUUACAUGAAAACUAGUUCAUGCAAGUAUGGACCAAGCUGCAGGUUUAAUCAUCCUGAUCCGACAGUGGUGGGAGGAGGCGACCCUGUUUCACAGGGUAGUAUGAAAGAUUCUAUUCCAGGCUGGUCAUCAGCAAGAACUUUGAAUGAGAAUGCUCCCUACAUACCAGUUAUGUAUCCACCAAGCCCAACUGCUGCUCCAAAUGGAAAAUGGAAUGAAUAUCAGGUAUUUUGUAAUUCGUGUGACAAUCUUUUAUUGUAAAAUUUUCAAGUAAAAUUUCUUUCCUCUGGCAACUUCUAUCAGUUUUAAAAUUUACUUUGACGGCUGUUUUGAUCUUUGACCUCUGUCUGACCCUUUACAAGCUCAUGGAUGUUGAUCAUAUGGGGGAGGAAAAGGGUUUCUAAAGUUGUAUUUAUAUUUUCACUGAAUGAAGAAGAAAAAAAAAAUAUAGUUUUUGAAGUUGGACCCCGAUCCCUCUUUACAUGUUUUACCUUGUAAUCAUGCUCUAGAUAGUAGUCAAAACAUUAGCUUGAAGUCAGGAACUGCUUAUUUGGGGAUGGCAAGAUUUGGUUUUUUCUUUAUAUAUAUUUUAUGAUAAUGGUUCUCCUGGUGCUAAAGGAAGUCUAGACUCGAGAGUUCAAUUUUUACCUCUGACCUUCUAUACUUGGAAAAUAUAGCAAUUACUAAAAGAAAAGAUCAAAUAGUAAAAAAAAUAAUCUGUGUAUUGUUUACAAUUCACAUUUAUUGACUUUGAAGUUAAACCCUUACAGGUGCUGUUAGCUUCCUUGCGAUCCUUUUAAAAUUCCAAUUUCUCGUUUACUAAUUUUUUUUCUUUUGAACUCUUGAGGCUCCUGUAUACCCACCACCCGAAGGCAACCUGCCUACUCCCCCAGCAUUUGCCUUGAGGCCCAUGAACAUUCCAGCAACUGAUGCCAACUUCUACGCAUAUCCUCGGCAGCAGCUGAUAGUUGAUGAAUUUCCUGAACGGCCUGGACAGCCCGAGUGCAGUUUUUACUUGAAAACAGGGGAUUGCAAGUACAGGUCUACCUGUAAAUUUCACCAUCCCAAAACUCGGAAGCCAACCUUUACUCUUAGUGACCGUGGCCUGCCCUUAAGACCUGUAAGUUAUUCCUCAGUAAUUUUGUCAGUUAUCUGACCAAAGUUGAGCAUUAGCUAUAUAUAAUUUUAAAAAAAGUAUGCAAGCUUCUAAGUUUUAACCAUAUUUCUUUUGAUUAUCUGACUUAAAGAUCACCAUUAACAAUCUAUAGUUUUAAGAAACAGUAUACAAGCUUUUUAAGUUUUAAGUUUUAACCAUAUUUCUUCUCAUAUUCCGUUUUUGGUUCUCUGAAACAGCGAAAGUACUUGACCUUUUUCUUUUUUCUCUUAUAUUCUCUGAAACAGCGAAAGUACUUGACCUUUUUCUUUUUUCUCUUAUAUUCUCUGAAACAGCGAAAGUACUUGACCUUUUUUUUUUCCUCUUAUAUUUAAUUUAGGACCAGGGCAUCUGCUCACACUACAGCCGGUAUGGAAUUUGCAAGUAUGGGCCUGCUUGUAGGUACGAUCACCCAGUAAGUAUUGUUAGUACCGCUGAGUCUGAUCAAGGUCAGCCUCGUCGGUAUGGCAGACUUGGAGAUUCAGAUGGGAACUGGAGAAGGGAGCCUGUGCAACAGUCAAUCUGAGAAUCAUGCAAUAGUUUUAGAAUCCUAAGUUAUAAUGAGCACAAAUACUAAGAACUUUAUCUAGUUGAGCUUAAUACUUCUAGUUCACCUUUUGCCGAGCUCUAACAAACCUUUAAAGAUUGAUUGAUUUGAUGCUUUUGUCAUGGAAAGCUUAACUAUGGCGAGCAUAUCUUGUUUUCAAGAUGUAUGCUUGCAAAAACAUUGGAUGGUAUACAAUCUUUACUGUGAAGUUGACAUAUUAUGCCUCUUUUGACCAUAAAUAUCUGUUAUUAUCUAGCCCAAGGCAGUCGGUGCAUAUUCAGAACUUGCAAGGAUGGUAUGCAUAUGGCUGAUCAGAGCAGACUCUCCUUGGGUUAAUUUGGUUAUUUUUAUGUUAUGGUUACUCUUAUACAAUACCUAGUUUAUUUUCUAAAGAAGAAAAUGAGAAUGGGAUGACUUUCCUUGAUCAUGUUUAUACCCAUUUAACUACAAGGUGAAAGGAGAGCGGUCUUUUUUUCUUUUCUUUUUUACCUAAGCAUUUUUGUGGAAUUGUGGGUAGAUGAACUAGGAAUACCUUUCAUCAUACCUGGCUACAAGCAUCAAAAGGGUUGCUUGCUGGGGUUAUAGUGGUGGUAAAUUUCUAGGGCGAGGCUAGACUUAGAAAUCUCAGGCACAAGAGCGAUGAAAAACUGUAAUUCGUCGCUGAGUAGUUACGACACUAGAUAUUUGAAAUUCGUCGCCUGUUUGAGCAGUAACAAUACUAGAUAUUUGAUGUUACGGUGUGCGCUAAAAACACCUCUUAGUUUUUGCUAUUAUUAUGAUCAAGUACAUUAUGCAAGUGAUAAAGACUGAUGAAAAUGGACCUGACCUAGCGCUUGCAAAUAUAGUGAUAAAGGGACACUCGGUGUCUCCGAGACCACUGUACUGCAUUACACUGCAGUAGCUAUGAAUUAUGAGUAGACAUUAUUACAAUUCAAUCGGCCUUUACCACAGCGUAGCCAGGUGUUCAACUACAUUAAAGGAUACUACAUUGUACUUCUAUCUUCAACUACUAUUUUGACCUUCGCUCCUAUUAUAUUUAUGCUCAAAUUUACCAAUGUGUAUGAUCAAAUUUUGGGUUCUUGAGCACGAUUGGAUAGCCUAGUCGUAAAGAUUUAUUCUCUGUUGUCUCAGGUCAUGAGUUCGACUCUGACUUACCUCGAGAAUAUCUGAAAACAGAUACUCAUUUGUAAGACUAUAGGCCAUAUUAGUCAAAAAUAAAAUAAAAAAUUUGGGUCCUUAGGAUGGUGGAAAUUUCAAAUUUCGAAUAUCUCGAUUUAAAUCGAGCGCUUCUCAAGCAGUGUACGCUCUUGUUUAGUUGUUAGAACUAAUCGUUAUUCUGGAUUACCAGCCAACAACCUGAUGUCUGUCGUGGAGUAGUGCAAGAAGUUAAUAGCAGCAUUUUCGUAACAAAUUCUUGAGCAGUUUAACAACAAUGGAUUCAAUGAUUCAAGUUUUAAAAAUGGUAGGUUUGGUAGUUCAAGGUGUAAGACAUUUGUCGUUUCACAAUCAAUAGGGGCACCUUUGGUAGUUUACUCGCCUGAAAAGAAGUCAUGCAUACAAGUACUAUGUUCUGGUGACCUAAUUAAUCUCAAUAUCACGGACGACAGUCGUUCGGUUGGAUUGUGUUUUGGAUUCAGCGUAAAUUUUGUACAGUAAAUCCCUGUGAAGCACGGUCAGAAACACGGAAAUCGGAAUUACUUUGUGGAGCAACCUAACCUUUCUAGAUGAUUAAUCGGAUAUAUUAAAAGAAUAGAGUAAUAUUUUUUUUAUUACAUCUAUUAUAUUAAUUUAAAAUAUAUAUGUUGUGAUUAAUCGGACUCAAAAAUCGAAUCGGUAAAAUAAUUUAUAAUGAUUAAUCGGUCAAGUCGGUAAUUUUUAAAACUAUACUCCGAAUUCAUUGUUGGAAUCGGGAAAAAGAAAAUUCUAAAAAAUUUGUCAGUGGAGGUUUUUAUCAUGUACCUGGGGUAAAAAAAUUCAUUUUGAAAAGGUUAUCCUAGGAGAGGUUUUUUUUUUCCUUUUUUUUACUGAUAUGGAUCAUAUACACUGGACGGAGAUCAUCACUUUAGAGACUAAUUUAGGGGUUAUACUGCAAUCAUAAUUAUAUUUUUUAAAUCAAAAUCUGUACCUCGAUGUGCUUGCGUCUUAUUCAAGAAUCAAGAUUGUGCUCAAGACAUUGUGAGAAUGCCAAAUUCCCAAUAUUUAGAAGAAAAAAAAUAUCCUUGGUUUAAACUAAUUUACUCUUUAAUUGUUCAGUUGUGCUCAACAAAAUACAUUUAACUAUUAAUAGUUAAUUAGGAGGCAACAAAUUGAAAGCAUCUAAACACAUUAGAACCUCAAUUACCAUAAACAUUUCGAAAAGGAUCUUAAAACUAAAGCCAUUCCUAUUUCCUACCAAUCCACCAUACCAAGAAUUUAAAAGAACUACAACUUCACAGUGUUCAGAUCUCUUGCAUUCUGAGCAAAUUUACUUGAUCAAGAGCUUCCGUUAGGAAAGCUUACACAUCAUGAGUUUUCCCUUGAAAAUAACCAUCAUCAACAUUCUCAUACUAUCUUCUUCUGCUCAUGGCGAAAUGAAUACGCGGCCUUUUGGAAAAAUAUAUGCAUUUGGGGACUCCCUUACAGACACUGGCAACACACAGUCUGGCACUGGAUCAAACCUUCCUUAUGGCCAAACAUUCUUUCACCAUCCCACCAACAGAUACUCUGACGGACGCCUCGUGAUCGACUUUGUAGCUGAGUUGUUAUCUUUACCAUAUUUACCACCUUAUCGUAACACAACUGCUGAUAAGUCAAGUGGUGUAAAUUUUGCAGUUGCUGGUUCCACUGCUAUUGAGCACGAAUUCUUCGUACAGAACAAUAUCACACGAGAUUAUACCCCAGAGUCACUUGAAACUCAACUUUCUUGGUUUACAAAGUUCUUAGAGAGUCAAGGGUGUAUAGACAUAAAAGCUACAUCACAGAAGUGCAAGGCAGUGUUUGAUGAGGCCUUGAUAUGGGUUGGUGAAAUUGGAGCUAAUGACUAUGCAUAUAUAGUAGGAUCUUCUGUCUCGGAUAGAACAAUUCAAGAGCUUGCAAUCAAGAGAACAACUGAUUUCUUAGAGGUAACUUAUGUGUUCAUACAACUACAUACAUGGUGUUCACUUAAAACCUACAUUUAGCAACACAAUUCUAUAAUGUUAUAUGAUUUGUGUUUGAUCUGUCCACAAAAUGCCAAAAGUACAAUAUAAGCAGGUCGUAAUUGAGUGAAUACAAAAUUCAAAAUUUUUUUGUUGGUGAAUGCAUUUCUAAUAUCCUCUGGUAUACUGAGAGAAGAGCAACAGGAACAAACGGAAGUAUGAAAGAAAAAUGCUAUGUGGCAAAAUUAAUAUGAAACUAGCUCUGACCAUAUAUGAUCCUAGCUUGUGUUGUCAUCCCAGAAAUUGUUCAGGAACUUACAGAAACAAAACUUAAUAAAAAUUGACUAGAAUUUAAGUUCUUUAACAACUAAUAUGUUCAAAAAACAUAUAUAUUAAUUAAGCACCAUGUUACAAAUAUUUAUAGGAAUACGAAAAUAAUAAUUUCAACUGUGUAACAAGAGCUUUUCAAUAGUUAAAUUAUGCACUCAUCGAUCAGAAUGAAAAUAGGACAUGCAGUAAGAUAUGGCAAAGCAGAUAUCGGGAAUAGGUUUCUUACCUAUUAUUUGUGAUUCAGAUAUUGUUGUAUAAGGGUGCAAAGUAUGUUGUUGUGCAAGGUCUUCCUCCAACAGGAUGCCUCACAUUGGCAAUGUAUCUCUCUCGAGAAGAUGACCGAGAUGACAUUGGAUGUGUUGGAAGUGUGAACAAGCGGAGCUACAGUCACAACACCAUCUAUCAAGCCAAAUUGCAAGUUUUUAGGAAACAGUUUCCAGAUGCUAUAAUUGUUUAUGCUGAUUACUGGAAUGCUUACCACACUGUCAUAAAGAAUGCACAUAAUUACGGCUUCAAUGAGCUGUACAAAGUUUGCUGUGGAUCCAGUGGUGGGCAGUAUAACUUUGAUUCUUCUGGACCGUGUGGCUCGCCUGUCUCAACUACCUGUGCCAAUCCCUCUGAGUAUAUCAAUUGGGAUGGAGUCCACCUCACUGAAGGCAUGAACAAGGUGGUUUCUGACUUGUUUCUCCAUGGAGCACUCACCAGCCCACCAUUUCAGUACCUGCUAAGCAUUAAAAAAAACUCUGGAUGACUGAUAAGUGAUAGCACUCAUCAGCGCAGGAUUUUAAUGCUCGUCAAUGUGAUCAACAAUUCAACUCAUAAUUGCUACUGUAUGAAGUGUUACUUAUGUAAUAAUAUUAGAUUAGAGUUUAUAUUCUAAUAAAGUGCAAGCUUUAUCCCAAGGCCGGAACUUGUUUGCAGAUUUGCUAAGGAAGGGUAAAUUAUCUUAAGGACAUGAUUACCACCCAAAAGGAUAAAAUUUAAGUUCAUAGUACUAACGCCAUCACUGUCUACCAGGUAUCUUAAUUCUCAACAUCGUGUAUGUAGAGCACAUAUAGGUUUUACACUGAAGCUUUAUGAACCAACAUGCUAGUUCCUCCAAUAUGUGUAUAAGUAUAACCAUUAUCAGUGACCAAGGAAAUGAGGCAGAAGCUACACAGCCUUCAUUACGAUCAUAUAUAACUAGGCCAUGCACUGAUAUGACCAGCGUGGAUAUUCACCACUACAUAUCAUUCAGUUAAGGAAUUAUAGUAUUCUUGUAAAAAAAACUUGUCAGUUCCAUGCUGUCUGCUGCAAGAAAGGUAAUAAGACUUAGUAAUGCAAGGUAAUACUGCAGCAAUGUGAAAGAACUGAUGCACAGGGGAGAAGUCACUCUUAAGUUCCCCAAGCUACUCCAUGCACGAUUAUGGCUAAGCAAGUUUGUCUGCAAAAUAAAAGAUACAGGUACUUAAAGAUGGUACAAGAUUAGAUCUUAUUUUGACUCAAUUUACUCCAUCUCUGCUACCUGCCCUUGUCUUCUUCCAUAAAUUGAAGGGUCUUCUAUGAGAAAAUGGAAGCCCCCCAUCCCUUCUUUAACGGCUACAGGUAUUAACAUUCCGAUGGAACAGAUUUUGAGUACCUUAACUUGCUUGAAGUAAAUAAUCUAGUGAAUAUUAAGACUGCAUCAACAUUCACACACAAAGAAGACUAUAAUUAGAAAUUUAGAAGUGGAUUAGGCACAUAACCUGGAAGCGAGGAAUUACAUCUGUGGGGCUCCUUGAGACAAAACUUUCAGUAGAUAGUCAAAUGAAUGAAUGCCAUAAAUGCCACCCUUUAGCUGGAAACCAGAUUGCAGAUAUGGUGUUAAAGUGCAUUAGAAGUUUUAACUGUGUCAUCUGGAGAAAGCAAAGUGUUUUAUGGUAGAUAGAACUGAUGAAUUUAUUUCCCUCCAUAUGCAAGGACAUCACUGUCAUUUGGAAAUAACUCAGAGGUAUAUAUAACAAGCACAUCAUCAAGACUACCAAAUAAAGCAUACAAGAUAGCCAUAAUGCCUUUCUUCUACAUAUAUUUCUCUUUCCAAAUCACCCUCAUUUUCAUAACCAUUUCAAUCAUUAUCUUCCCUCCUCCCACACAUGCUUCUACCCCCACACAGGCCUCUACUGCAGCAAGUGGUGCAAAACUUAGUACCUUUAGAAAGAUCUAUGCCUUCGGUGAUUCCUUUACUGACACUGGCAAUACAAGAAGCAUUGCUGGAGCAGGCGCUUACCUCUCUGCCUCAAAUCCUCCAUAUGGUCGCACAUUCUUCCACCACCCAACAAACAGAUUCUCUGAUGGACGCCUUGUGAUUGAUUUUUUAACUGAGACACUCUCUUUACCGUAUUUGCCACCUUACCUUCAGAAAGAGGCUGAUAGAUCACAUGGCAUUAAUUUUGCUAUUGCUGGUUCCACAGCUAUAGAACACAGUUUCUAUGUAAGGAACAAUAUAACAGCAGCCUACAGUUCUCAGGCACUUGAAACUCAACUUGGCUGGUUCCAAGAGUUCUUGGGCAGUCAAGGGUGUAGAAGCUCUACAACAACACCUCAGCAGUGCAAUGCAGUAUUUGAUGAGGCUUUAAUCUGGUUUGGUGAAAUUGGAGUAAAUGACUAUGCAUAUAGUGUUGGUUCUUUUGUAUCAGGCGAUACCACACGCCAGCUUGCAAUUAAGAGUGCUACUGAUUUCCUGCAGGUAAUUACUGCAUAAUGACUGUUAUUUUAUAGUCAAUAUACCCCUCAAUUACUUGAUCUAUGUAAACUCAUAUAAAACAUAUAUCAAUUAACUAGACAUUUAAAACAUCAAUUAUGUCCUAUUGAAUAAUUAUAGAAUCUGGUGCAAGAGUUCCUAGUUCCUCAUAAUUACAGAUAAAUUUUAAAUUAGAUACAAAAAUACAGAAACAAUCUCAUACAUCAGCAAAACAAUAUCAGAUGAAGUGGACAGAAGUUACCUUCUGUUGUUUUACAGGUAUUGCUCAGUAAAGGUGCCAAGUCUGUUGUUGUCCAAGGUCUGCCUCCAAUAGGCUGCCUCACAUUGUCCAUGGGUGUCUCAUCAGGCUUCGAUAGAGAUGAUAUUGGAUGUGUUGCAAGCGUGAAUGCCGUGAGUUACUAUCACAACAACAUCUACCAGGCCAGGUUGCAAGAUUUAAGGAAAGCGUUUCCAAAUGCUAUCAUUGCUUAUGCUGAUUACUUCAACGCUUACAGGACUGUCAUGAGGAAUCCACGCAACUUUGGCUUCUAUGAGCUCUACAGCGCUUGCUGUGGAACAAGUGGCGGAUCAUAUAAUUUGAACCCGUUAGCACCAUGUGGCUCAGUUUAUGCAACCUCGUGCCCAAACCCAUCUCAGUACAUCAACUGGGAUGGAGUGCACCUCACUGAAGCCAUGUACAAGGCAAUUUCUCAAUUGUUUUUUACCGGAGGAGCCAUUCACCCUUCAUUUGCGUACUUAAUAAGCCACUGAAAAAAUAAACUACUACUGGCUGGACAGAUCCUGAGAAGUUCUGUUACAGUGAUCUCAGUGAGCUAAUCUUCUCAAUUAUAUGUAUGUAGUUGGAUAAUAUAUAGUACUAGUAGACGUCGAAUUUCUUGAUAUGAAUAACAUUGAAUGUUCAAUAUAUAAAAUAGACACCUCUUACGUAGCUAAGAGUUUUCAGGUGAAUAACUAAGUUCGAAUUAAAGCAUAAGAAUGACAAGCACAACACAUUUAGCUUCUAAUUUCAUAUCAAUAACUGAUCUCUGCCUACAGUAAAAAAACUCGAGCAAUACGAAAGAGCACAGCUAGCUAGAACCUCAUGGGCAAGCAAUGUUUUUACUGCCUUUAUAUUUUAUAUAUGUUCUUUACAUUGGAUAUUCACCACAAAAACAAUAGAUAAUGUGGCUGUUUGUUUGGUGGAAGCAGAAGCUGUGUUUGUGUAAAAAAGUAGAAACACUUUUAAGAAGUUAAGAAUGCUAACUUCUCUCUCACAGAUUCUACUUCUUUUCCAAACACUUUUUUAACUUAUUUACUUCUCAGUUCUAAUUCACUUCUUUACUUUAAGUAAGAAAUCACUUUUUUUAAGUUUGGCCAAACGGCCCCAAUAAACGAGCAGCAAGCUGUGUCACUGACCUUACAUGGCAGGAAACUAUACAUGGACCUAGCAAUAAUAAAAAUUACUAUCAGAGUGCAGUUAUGACUUGCAAGACCAGCAGUCCUCACAAUAAAAACUGAAUUAUUUUUUCACCUCAGCACACAAAUGGCUAGCAGUAUGAUCAAUUUACACAAAAAGAAGCAUUGAAAUUGUGAAAUAUAUAUAUGAAUGGAGUGUGAAAGCAAUCACAAAUUAGGGGAAACAAUUAGAAAGAAGAAACAGGAGCUUACAAAAACAGCAUGCAGGCCUGGUUAAAAGUAGAUUUUACAGGUUUUUAACAUCCCUCUCCGAGUCUCCCACCAUCAAACCUUCAUCUGUUCAAGAUUUACUCGCACACACACACAUAUGACUUGUACCUGAUCAAAUUAGUAGUUUUUUUUUAUUAUUAUUAGCUUAUAGGCUUUUCUACACUUGAGUAUCUUUCGAUUUUUCAUUAAUCUUUAUUUAUAAAAAAUAUCCGUUUAUAAAAGAAAUUAUUCAUUUUAUUAAAAAACACUAUUUAUGUUGUAAACAAUUAACAGAAUAUUAUUAUUAUUUUAUUAAAAACCCCCUAAAUAAUUUUCAUGAAUAAAAUACAUGAGUGUCAACCUUAUUUUAUGAAUAAAUGUAUGAGUGUCAACUUAAAAUUAGUUUUAGUGAUUAUUCAUCACAAGUUAAACUGUGAAUACCCGUAAAUAUAAAUAUUUGUUUCUUAAAAUUAAUUAAAUAUCUAUCAAAUAUAAUAAUUUAUUUAUUUUAAUUAUUCACGGCUUGAAAAUUUAUAAAUAUGUGAGAUGCAUAGAAACCCUCUUUUCAGAUAAAUUAAAAAGUUAAUUAUUUAAUUAUUAUUUCGAUAACAAAACAAAUACUUGUCACUAGGGGUGAACACGGGUUGGGUUGGCCGGGUUAGGGGCAAAAAUUCAACCCAACCCAAUUUAAUCGGGUUAUAAAAAUUCGAACCCGUUAACCCUCAAAAAUAUUUCCAACCCAACCCUAUUAUUCAUACGUUGGGUUGGGUCGGGUUUAUCGGGUUUUAUCCUGUCAAAUUUAAAAACUAACAAACACAAUUUGUAUGUAACUUAGUAGUUUAAAUAGACUACACAUUGCAGAAACACAUUGCAGCAUUUCAAAAUUCUGGACUCAAUCCCAGUCCCAGAGACAUAGAUGCACUAGUAAUAAAUUGCAGCAUUUGCUUUUCAACUCCAUCACUCUCUGCUAUGGUGAUUAACAAGUAUAAAAUAGACAAACAGAUUUAAACUACUAAGCUACAUACGGAUUGUGGUUAAAUAGACAAACACCUUGCAUUUGCAUAAUAAUCUAAGGAUGGUUACGAACUAUUAUUAAUAAAUUUAUGAAUAUUUACAGAGAAAUUAACAUAAUAACAAGCUAUGAACUAGAAGCAUAGAGAAAUGAUUUAGGUCAGAUGCUAAUGGGCUAGGCUGCAAUACUUUGAUGGACUGUUAUAAUAUCUAGCCUGCAAUACUUUGAUGGACUGUUAUAAUAUCAAUAGUGGACUAAUGGACUAUGUUAUUUUAAACGGGUUGGGUUGGGUUGGGGUUAAAAAAUUAAAAACCCUGACCCAACCCAAUUUAUUCGGGUUAAUAAAAAACGAACCCAACUACUUCUCGGUUUGGAACGGUUCGGUUUGGUCGGCCGAAAUAAGGUGCGGGUUGGGUCGGUUUUGCGGGUUAAACGGUUUUUUGUUCACCCCUACUUGUCACGAACACCCAACUUCUCCGUGAUAUCAUUUUAAAAUUGGUUAUUUUAACUUUGAAUAAAUCUAUCGAUUACUCCCUCUGUCCCAUUUAAUUGUAUACGUUUCUUUUCAACUGCUCGACACGCAUUUCAAUGCUCUUAUAAAAUAUAGUUCCGUAACUUAUUUUUGAGAUUUUCUUUUUCUGAAUAAAAAUAUAACAUCCAAAUUUUAAUUCAGAAAAAGAAAAUUUUAAAAAUAAAUUACACAACUACACUUUACAGGAGCAUUAAAGUCCGUGCCGCGUCCCCGUCCCCCAAUGUAUACAACUCAGGGGGACGGAGGGAGUAUUUUAUAAAUUAUUUAAAUAAUUUUUAUUCUAUAACUUCAUUGGUAUGCAAUUUUAUAAUUCUGAUUUGAUUUAUCGUUGAAGUUGAUUUUUCCUUUCAUUCAUAAUUUUUUUUUUUUUGACAAAUUCCUUUCACUCAUUAAUCUUUCUACAUUCUACAUUUCUGCUCGGUAAAUAAUGCUAUAGAGGCUCGGCCCAACUUUAUUAAGCCAAUGCAUAUCGGAUACAAUUCAGAUUGCAAAUGAGGCGGGCCAGGCCCAAAGUUUAAUAAACUAGUUUAUAAAUUGAGGACUCCCUGUGCCCAAAAACCAACGACUAAACUUUUAAAAUUCGGCGAGUACAGUAUAGAUUUAUUGUUGGAGUUAAUUUUUGCUUUUGGACAUGUUAAUCUUUCUGCUUGGCAAAUAAUGGCAUACAGGUUCGGCCCAAUUUUAUUAGGUCAGAUGCACUUCAGGUUGCAAAUAUGGGCCAGGCCCAAUGUUUGGACUGGUGGUCGUUGACCUUUACUCCUCGUGUACUUGCAGUCGAACUAAAAGCUUAUGUUCUAGUUUCUAGUUCUACGAGGUUUAUGUACGUUGUAAAACUUGUAAUACCAUUCAUUGCUCUUAUAAAUAAAUAAAUUCGAUACAAUUAAAUUAUUAAUCUCAUUCACAGAGAUGGAGAAUUUCAAACUAAACAAAUUAUUUUGUGUUUUGGUCUUUCUAAUUCUCUCUUUUCAACCUUCAAUUCAUGUCUCAUCGAUUUCUCCUUCUCACAGCCAGGUGUGUGUAUAUAUAUGUAUAUUGUAUCUAUAGUCUUGUUCAACUGUUCUUGUUUUUGUGAACCAAGUGAAUUAUACUUAUAUGUAAUUGUUCUUGUGAUCAAUGUGCAUUCUAGAUGCAUGUAUAUAUUAAUUGCCUUUGCUUAGAGUAGAUCAAUCUUAAAUUGAUAUUUGUGAUAUUAGGAAUUUCUAUUUACUGUUUCGAUUAUACAUGAUUUACAAACAUUCAAUUUUAAGGAUAAUACUAGACUUCUACUUUUAUCAAAUCAAUAAUGAUAAGUUGAUAACGCUUUUAGCAGAUCUAAAUCAUGGUUACUUUUGUCGAUAGUAAUUGGUAUCAAUUAUAUGCAAAACAGGGGAAGUAGAUAGUAGUUGGACAAAUUAUGAUUGGGGGUUAACAACACAAUAUAUUAUUUCCGGAUCCUAACUUUACGUGUUAUUCGUGGAAGUUGGAUUAAUCAGCUAAUGGAACGAGCAUUAUUUUUAGGUAGAGUACUCCGUAAAUACAUGCUGCUGGUAGGAAUUCGAUUGAUUUCAAAAUGGUGAUGAUUCUUGGAAUAGAUCUUGCAUUCAUUGCCAUACUAACAGUCUAACAUACAUUCAUAUAGUGUUGCCCUAGCAUUCCUUGUGCAUUAAAAGCUCUUUAUAUAAUUGUCUAUGUUAGAAUGUAAUCACUGGCUUUGUUUAAUGUAGAUUGAUUUAAGUGUUGAUCACAAAUUUUAGGAAGCACUUUACUGUUUACAUUCUAUUUGAUGCUACACAGAUUUAAUUGUAAUACACAAUAUUAGGGUUCUACUUUUGAAAACAUACAUAAUAUCCCUUUCAGCCAAUAUGAGUAAAGAUUUAUUUUCACUUUCGUUAUUGGAAUAAAUUAUAUAUUAGAGUCAUAGAGUAGUAGAUAGGCAAGUUACUAUUAUAUUCUUCUAAGUUAAUUUAGAAGUAAGAAUCUUUCUUGAAACAAACUCUACAUCUUUAUAUAUAUCAUGCACACUUUUUGCUUCAUAUUCAGAAUGAAAAUGACACUAGAUCCAAAUUUUGAGAUGGGGAGACUUGAUCUUACAACACAUUCAUGAUCCAACAAUAACUUUCCGUGAUUCUUUGAAGAGUUGGAUCAAUCAGAAUAAUCAUAAAUGUUAACAAGAAUGUAUCUGUAUAGACAAAGUUUUGAUCCCCUAGGUAGAAGGAUGACAUAAAGAUAAAGUAUAAGCUCCGGUUAUAUUCCAAAUAGGCUUUCGUUCAUAUUCAUAUCCAAGUUAUUAAAGUAGAGCUCUUGCAUACUUUGCACUGAAUGUUUAGAUUUAUUUUUGCAAUUGGUCAUCAGUGCUCUUUGCUCUUGCGAAUCUUUCGGUUUCCUACACCUUUGGAAAUAUUCCAGGUUCAUAAUGUUAAACUGCUUUCAUUAUAAUUGUUUUCUUUCUUUCACUACAGGCUCAAGAAGAACAUGCAGCUUCAAGGUAAAUGGCUUUUCUUGAUAAGUUAUUUGCGACAUACACCACAGAAUGUACCGAAUAAAACUUUUAAUUUGAUCAAAUAUGUUUACCAUAUAUUGACAUGCAGGCUUCAUAAAAACAAUGACGGGAAUGCUGAUGAAGUGCAUUGUUCCAGAGAAAGAAGCAGGGCUGCUUGGAAGAUCAUUGAGGAGGUAUGCAUAAAUCAAUGGAAGUUACAAUCAAAAAACUAUUAAUGUGGUAACGAAUUUGAAAACUGUUCCUAUAUGCAGUAUCUCAUGCCAUUUGUGGAACAAGAAAAGUAUCAGCUUUCUCAACAAUGUAGGCUUCACCCUGACAAUGAUAUCUACAGAGAUCAAGAGCAGCACAAGAUACACGUGGACAUAAACGAAUGGCGUUGUGGAUACUGUAAGAAAAGCUUCCGAUCAGAGAAAUAUCUUGACCAGCAUUUUGACAACAGACACUCCAAUCUUCUAAAUAUUGUAUGUAGAUCCUUGACUCUUACUUUUCAUUAAAAGCGAACAAAAUUUGCAGUUAUCGUGCCAUUUUAUUUGAGCGUGUAAUUUGUUUGUUGGUGUGUUCCUUAGAAGGGUGUGAAGGUGCGAGUCUGUGAGAGCAGUGAACAUUGUAUUACCUGUAGGGUAUUAGCUACCUUUGUAUGGUUUGAUAUAAUCUGGGAUUACAGGGUAAAUGAAAGUAUGAUUUAUACAGCAGAGAUCUAUUGCUGUAUGUUACGAAUAAAAAACAAUUGGAGAAGAUCAGAACGAGCGGCUAGCAUUAUAAAGAAGGGUAGCGGUCCACAGCCAUUACUGUGGAGCACUUAGGUAACACACAGAUUUUGGUCCGUUGGCUGCUGGACAUGGGAAUCCCCGUCCAGCGCUAAAAAAGCGCUGGACAUGUUAAAAUUUUAAUAUGAUCCUGGCCGCUGGAUAUGCAUCCAACGGCCUAAAAUCUGUGAGUUCAUUAACCAGUCCCUGGCAUAUGACUGCCAGGGACCCGGACCCUAUAAAGAAUUAAUACUUGCUAGAAACAACGGUCAAAAUUAUUUCAUUAGACAGAUUAAUCAUGAAUGUGAUUUAUAAUAAAAUAAAUUUCAUUGUUUGGAAUCCUAAUAUUUAGCUAUUACUUUGAGUUCAAACUGGGAAAGAACAGUAAUCGCUGAUCUGGCAAAAUAGUCAUGUUGCAAUAUUUCCACUUUCACCUUAUUUUCAACGUAAUUUUUUUCUCUUGUCAUAUGGCAAUUUUUAGUGGAAACAGACUAUAGAUUCUGUGUCAGUAAUUAACAUUAAAAUACAAAAAAUUGUAUUAUAUCCUACACUUUCCUUCGUUAAGUUGUUAUGGUUAAUCGAAUGUGUUGAGAUGGAGCCUAGGUUCUUGAAGCACGACUGUAGGCCUUUACUAAUUACCCAUCUUUGAAGUUCUUAUUUGUUGCUUUUGGAGGAGUUGUGAUGUACUAAGGGUUUUGCACUUUUUAUAAAUUCAGAGUCACAGCAAGUGCUUGGCUGAUUUGUGUGGAGCUCUUCAUUGUGACCUUGUAACGGAUUUCAAGGCCAAAAAGAAUAAAUGCAAUCCUUCAGCAUCUGCAAGGAACAAGCACUUGUGUGAGGUUCCCUUCAUCUACUAUACCUCUCUUAUUGGUAAUUAAGGUUUUUGUUUACUCAUUGCAAAAUGUUUUUUUGCAGGGUCUUGCUGAUAAGUGUUUUCCUAUAAAUCAGGGGCCCUCAGCUAAUCGACUUCAUGGUAUCAUAUCUCACACACACGGACACAUCUAUAAUAUUUUUUGUUCUGUUAUGUGCUUUCUUAUAUAAAUUCUCAUGAUCCUGACAGAAUUAUUCUUGCGUCAAUUUUGUGAUGCGCACACUUGUUCAGGAGGGCACAAACCAUUUUCCAGGGGAAGCAAGGUGCUUGCUGUUCUUAACUUUUUUAGACUAAUUUUAUGAAUUGAAGUCCAAAUCCAAUUUGAAGAGGCCAUUAUUAUUGCUCCAGAUGAUAAAUAUUCAUAAAGAUUAUCUACCGACGAAGAAUCAAAUUAUCACUAUAUUUAUUCCUUUUUCUUCCUCUUCUCCUAACUGUGCCAGUGUUAUAUUUAUGCCUUUGCCUUUGUGUGGUUUAAAAGUUGGGAACAAGUCGCAACAUGUGACUUAUUUCAACUUAUAAGUCGCAAAAGAGAUUUGCUAGCCAGCCAAAUCACCGGUCUGUUAAUCUAGGUUAAAUGUUGGCACUAAAAAAAUAAUAUGAAUUUUGUGUUUGCAGAAGAACUAUCUAGAGAACUACUACUAGCUGUCCGGUUUUACGUAAAAGACCAUGGGGUCUUGAAUCUUGAUACACACAUGCUAUGUACUUGUAGGAGAGAACUAAGUGUAUUACUUUGGAAUAUGUUGCCCAUUCCAAUCAAUCAAAUUCCUCAACCAAACAGUAAUAAUUUGGAAUGAGCUUGAGAUAGCGGUGGGUUGUGUAGUUUGAUUUGAUGGACACCUAAAAUAAUAAUGUGAAGAGCUAGGACUUGAUUUAGUGAAAGUGAUUUUUAUCUAGACACCCUUGCAAGCUUAAGAUAAUAUAGCCAUCGGUGAAACUAGAAUUUUUUGUAUUUGUAAUUUUGUUAUAAAUAUUGUUAGUUAACAUUUAAAAAAGAAAGCAAUAUAUGCACCUUAUUUCUUAGGUGGUGUUUUUAGUUUUUCACUCUAACAGUUUGCGUAUAACAAAACAUCAACAAAAACUUAGUUAUGAUGACUCAUAAGGCAGAGGUAUGACGUAGUAAGCUUAUGACGUGUCUUUGUUAUUAUGAUUUAUGAGGAGGUAUGAUUUUAAUGAUGUCUCGUUCGAUAUUUGCAGAAGCAUACUAGCAUUUUCUACCUUGUUAUUUCAAUUUUGACCUCAUUGCUGGUUGCUAUCUUUUACAUCGUUGUUUAUGUGUAUAGAAGGUACGAUUUAAAACUCUAAUCUCCAUAAUUUGUUCCUACCUCUUACUUUACUGCUACGGGUUAUAAUAUAUUUGCGUAUUUCAGAGGAAUGAGAAAGGACAGCCAAGGAUUUAAACGCAUCUCACGACGGGGACAAAAGCCAAAACCAUCAUAGCGGUAAGCACCUGACACCUAACAAAAAGAAAGUGGAUCUCUGUGCUUACAGUCAACUAUUAUAUGAAAUCAGUUCACAGGUAUUGUGUUGGUCGUCUCACGUUUCUUUUGUCUUACUCUUACUCUUGUGUAUAGCAAGCUUUUCUGGAGUUCACCAAGUCACUUGCAAGAUUGAGAACUCUGACCAUGAAGAUCUUAUAGUGAUGAAACUUAAAAAAAUCUUGGAAACUCCUUAAAAUCAAAGAUUUUUUGGCGUAGACAACCUUUCAAUAGGUGUAACUUUUGUUGUAUAACAGGGUUCUCAUAAUUUGGUUCGAUCAGUUCGUAUAUAUACUACACUGAUUUCUUUUUCUACUCAGUUGAUUGUAUAAUUAAAUGUAGAAAAUAUCAUUAAAUAAAUAUGUUUAUCAUAUUAAUAAAUAUGUUCUCUACAAAUUAUGAGAACCCUUUGCAUUGUACUGUUUGCUGCUUAAUGAUCCUUUCUAUAUCGACCUAAGUUAUGUUAAUUUUGCCUCCAUUCCUCCAUUUGACACUGAUGAUAUUCACACAUUCCAGAAAGAAGGCAUGAUCUGUAGUGACUCGCUCAGAAUAUUUUCUGUGAAAUCAACGUGGGAAUCAGGCAUUCAGGAAGAACAGAUCACCGCCUGUAAUUCUUCAACUAGUGUCUUAUUCAUUGUUUGUUCAGUUAGUCUGUGUACAUUGAUUUACACGCCUCUGCAAUUAAAUCAACAAUUCUGUUUUAUCCCUACGUCCUUUGCUUGCAACAGGUUGGUUAGAGUUUUUCUUCACUUUUAGUACAUCCUAUUUUUUUAUUCAAUUUUUACAUAAUGCAGCAGGUUCUACCAGUUUCCACGCCUGGACUCCUUUAACUAAUCCUUUUUAACAUUUUCACCGACGUUACGUUAGCAUUUCCAGCACGAAGCUGCAACAAUGGGUUUAGAUUUCCAUCCCAGCACCAAGCACCCUUUCUCCUCCACAAUGGUAUACCCUUCGCAGUACUCACGUUUUCCUAGCCACUCUUUUGCCCGAGCAAUCAUCUUGAUUGGUGCGGGCUGAAACCCGGCUCUGCUCAUCCUCCUGCGCCAUUGAUCUACCCUCUCGUGUCUCUCCAUCCUUGCUGGCCCCUCACAACUCACGAUGUUCUUAAUCUCCUCAGCAAAGUAGAACUGUUCAAUCUUUGCACGUCGUGUGUCAUAUUUAGGCAGCAUUGCAUCAAGAGAAUCGAAUAUUGCAGAAUAGUAAUGCAGAGCUUCCAUAAACCUCCCAAGGAAGAAUGGCCCAUUAUGGCUCGAAUCCUGCUCAACAAGAACUAAAACCUUAGGGGAUAGCUCGUGAAUUAUUUGCAGAACUGCGUUUAAUGCACCUCUGCUCUCUUUCACCACACAGUGCAGCUGAAGAAUGCUAUUGAUUGCAACAACCUCGUUUUUACGGAGUUUAAUAUCUUCAGGCCUAAGGUUUUCCAAGCUACUCUCAACUACUGAGAAUUCCAAAUUUAUUCCCAAGCUCCCAGCAUAGGCCUCGAGCUCAUCCCCAAUGAUCUGGUAUUGAUCAACGCAAAGGCCAACACCUGUGAUUCUAACACAAUGUGGAGGCUGGCCAGUCCGGUUGGCGAGACUAUUAAUUAGAUGACGCCACUGCUGACCAUGUGGCAAACCAAGGGACAUGCCCAAGUCCACCACAUGAACGAACUUCUCUCCCUCAAAGGCUUCCAAUAUCGAUAAAUUGGCUACAAAAUGUCCGAAUUGAAUGUGUGGACAGACUUCAUAGACAAGGCGUAAGGCUUCUUCCUUCUUCUCAGAUGCAAUGUCCAUUAUAUUCAUUGUUGCUGCAGUUAAACCAACUGUCCCUAGUGGCUGAACAAGUGCCAGCCGAUCAGUAAGUCCCUGGACAAAGCACGAAGCAACACGCUGAAAGGAAGACCCAAAGACCAGAGCAUUUGCCCUGAGUUCAGCCAGUAAAAUUGAGGCAUGUGACUUAUCUCGACAUGCCACAGCUUCAGCACAUGAUAUCAGAAGCUGCACAAGUCUCAUUCCAUCAGCAACUCCAUCCUCUCUCGUCUCCCCAUUCUCCGGUCCAGUAAUCUCUGAUGUUGCCUCUUCAACACCUUCAGCAGCAAGGUACCUCUGUGUAUAAGUCUUUAUGUGGUCUCGAAUGUGGAGCCCUGGCAGGCUAUUCAAGCUACUAGUGCUGAUCGUGCGACUGAUCAUGCUGCUGCUUCUACUUCCCACACUGCCCUUACUGUACAGGCUAUUGUAAGUACUUUCAAGAAACUCACCCAUGCUGGUGGUUCUUUUCAACCUCUUAUAGCUCCCAGUUUCAUCAGAUAAAGUCGGAAUCCAGGUCGAGGCAACAUCAUUCACAUUCUGUAAAUGCACAAAUGGAUAAUCAGCCAUGGCUGAACUUCGCGAAUCAAGGCCACUCAGUUGAACAUUCUGUUCAUUGUCAUACAAAGGAUGGGCCGAGAAACUAUAAGCCAUGGCACAACUCAACUUACUGGUAUGUCCCUCACUCUUGCUCCUUAUUUCUCAACUAAUAGAUAUUCAAAUGAGCUCUGAAGGAACAUAAUACAUCGCACAACUGCCUUAAAUAGAACUCUGAAUUCUUGUUCAUCGUCGAUUACUAGGUAAUCUACUUGAAAACAAAUGCUGAUUAAUAUAAAACAAAGGUCAUGGUGGGCUUUGGAACAAAAAAGUUUCUGUCUGCAUGUUAAAGGUUGAGCAUAAACUAUAACAUAGAUCAAUCAGAGAAAGCCGAAACUAUGUAUUCUCCUAAACUUUGGGAUCUUAUACAUUGGCCUGGUUGCAACAACCAAACUAUUGAUGCUCAACAUUUUAUUUUAUUUUUCCUCUAAAUAAAUAUCUGCGAAGCUGAAUCAGCAUGAUGUGACAUUGAUUUCAUAAAGCAUUAUGCUAUAUUCUUCUUAUCAGCUAUUGCGAUUGUCUCUUGAAUUGUUUGCUGAUUCUAGCAGGGGCUUGGCCAGCCAUUGGAAAGAAAAUUAGCUAGUCACAUCAAAAAUCUCAAUAUAUUUGAUUGUUCAAAUAUUUUAAAACUAACCUGUGUAAUUCUUUUAUAGAUGCCUUCAGAUACGUGUAAAAAGUAAAAAAGACAAAUACGAACAAAGGGAGUAUUUGAUUAAAAGUUGGGUCGGCAUCUGACCCUCCCUGUUCUAACCUUGUGGCUAGGCCUAAGCUCCUUAGUACUUAGAGCAACAAUGUAUCAUACUAAAACUCUAAAGAAUAAGUUUCAACAAUACAUAUAACCUCAUGCUUUCUGAAUAUUCUUUUUAACAGUGACUUCUUGUACGGCCGGCCUGAUUAUAGAAUUUAUGACAUAGUAAACGCAUGAAAGGAGACUUAUUGUACACAGUGUUGUACUAAUGGCGAAGGACUAAGACCUGAAUUACGUAUAUAUACAAAGUGUUAGUCCGUAAAAAAAAAAUUAAAAUCUUGGCAAAAGUUUAAUAGAGUACCUGAGUAGAAACCAUAUCUUCUGCGAAAUGUUCUGCCUUUUUUAUCUUUCGUCAAUAAGAAUUAAUGAAAUUCCUGUUAAAUAUUAGUUAUAUUGUUGAUUCAGUUGCCCUGCUACCGAAAGAAGAACAUAUGAAUCGGCAUAUCUCUCUCUGCUUCGAAGAAUUCUUUGCCGAGAGAUUCCAAUAGUAAAAAACGAAAAAAGAAUGUUAAAGAUCCAUCAAAAUGCUUUUACUAGGCGGCAAUAUUUUAUCAGGUAAAAAGUGUGUUUCUGUCUACUUAUAUUUCCUGGUGAUUCAAAUUUGAAACAUUCUUCGCUCCAGUUCAAAGUUUAAACUAAUACAACACAAGAAAAAGUUCUUGUCCAUGAACUUCUGCUUUGGAAUCUAUCUAAAGAAUACAAAAUCCAGGAUCAACCUUAAGCAUUCGACUUCUUUACACCAAUUCAAUAUAUAUAGCUACUUUCUGUAGAACUAAAGCCCAGGCAUAUAUGUUAUCAGACUUUCCUAAUGCGAAGUAUUUUUCUUUUACUCAGAAACUUCAUUUUUGGAAUGAAUUGGAGCGAUAUCAAGAUAUUUGCCGUUCAAAUUACUUUUUGAAGAGUAUUAUGAGUAUCUGUGCUUGAACUAACUAAAUAAACAUCUAUGGUUUAUCAAAACAUCAGGGGGUUGGACUGUUUACUGAUCGGAGGUCAUGUUCUUUUAAGAGUUUAAAAAGCUAAUUAUAUAUGGAUUGGGUUGCUGGAUUAAAUAAGCAUGUGCAUGUAUUAUCAAGAAACAAUUUGCAGGUCAGCAGGUACAUUGUCGCUUAAUCAACUUUCUUGUGGUCCUUCUGUAUCGGAGUAUUAUUUUCGUGUUUUUCUGUUUCUAUCAUUGCUUCAGACUAUAAUUAAUUCUGAAUAAAAUUCGGAUAGAAUCAUAAAUAUCUAAGCAGCCUGCUUUCAAGGAUAUUUUGACGCGAGACUAAUGUAAAAUGCUUUCAGGGAUAUUUUGAUACGAGAUUGAUGGAAAAUACUGAACCCGAAUGACUGUGAAUCAGAGUCACAGCUACAAGGCAACAACAAUUUAAAGGUAAAAUUCUGCAUACAGGGACCUUUUCAGUUUUUGCUGUUUGAUGCGGAAAUCUUGAGUACCAGUAUAAACUUUAUUGAUAAUAAGUUAUGACUGAUGAAUUAAAAUAGCUAAAUACAUAGUAACCUUACUUAUAAAGAAGAACGAAAGACGUAUGCUAAAUAUGAUUACACCCUGGAGAUCAGAAUUGAAUACUUAACUUUAAAGAGACAGAGAGAUAAAAGAUGUAUCAUCACUAGUUCAACAAAUAGUUAGUACUGAAAUAUUGCUUCAGUGAUAGGGAUGAGGUGAAUUCAUCUCGUGCAAACGAUGGCAGCUAGCAGGAGGAUAGCGGAAUUGACACCGUCUUCUUCAAGAUUAGAACUGCUCCUCUUGAAUUUGCUAGCUUUUCCUUUGUUGCAUUGGAGUAGCACUGUUUGUUGUUGAGCGUUCAUGUUCUGGUGAUGCUCAUACAUCUGGAACAUGAUUUCUUGAUUCUCCUUGCCUGUUUCUUCUUGUUGCUUCCUCAUCUUCUUCGUCGCUUCAUUCACCUUCGACACCAUUUUCUUUCUGAUAAGAGGGAGUUAGAGAUUUUAU
rnacentral:lncRNA from 1 species